rnacentral:lncRNA from 1 species
GGGAGCCGAGCCCGGCCCGGCCCGGCCCGGCGGCCCUUCUUUAAGAUCACCACCCGCCCCCAAUUGUUCUCUCCCACACCUCACCUCACCUCACCUCACCUUCUUCGCCUUCUUCUUCUUCUCGCCCGGUGACACCCGAGAGCAAACGAGCAAUUCACCAGCUUGCUUCCUCUUGUCUGCUGCAAGGUGCUGAUCGGUGAUCGGGCCUUUGAUCUUUCCGGGAGGGAGGGAAGCCGUUGUGUCAGGCUGGCUCUCGACAUGUUCAGAUCCAAGGUCCAGGAGAUGAUCCUCAGGAGGAGGUCCAGGUCCAUGAACGGCGCCGGCUGCAACUUGUCCACGGCCCCGUGCGACGGUGGAGCCGGCAAGGGUGCUGCUGCUGCUCGUGCCACGUCGUUUGCGGUGCCGAGGCUGCUGCACUCGUCGUCGCUCCCGGCCGGCGGCCGCGCCGCGGUCGUCACCGGGAGCCCCGCGCGGGACCACGAGGCGAUGUCCGCCUACGCCAUGAGCCCGACGUCCGUGCUGGACGCGUCGGCGGCCUUCGGGUCGCCCGGCCCGGCCGUGGAAGCCGGCGGGGGCAAGCGCCGGCCGUGGUGCGACGGGUGCGCGGGGCCGCACGGGCUCGCCGACGUGCUGGACUGCGCCCACGAGGCCCAGCGGAGGAAGAGCGNNNNNNNNNNNNNNNNNNNNNNNNNNNNNNNNUCCUCCGGGGCGCCGUCAGGGCGCAGGCGCCGGCCCUGGUGCGGUCCUCCUCCCUGGACCGGCGCGUGGAGUUCGGCGUCAAGAACAAGAGCUCGUGGCUGCCGCUCCGCGCCGCCCGCCCGGCGGCGGCGGAGGCAGAGGAGGACGGGCCGUCGUCCGAGGACUACACCUGCGUCAUCUCCCGCGGGCCCAACCCGCGGACGGUGCACAUCUUCGGCGACCGCGUCGUGGAGGGCGACCGCGUCGUGGGAAGCCCGCCGCCGGCGCCGGCGCGCCAGGGCAGAGGUUUCCUCAGCCUGUGACGCCAUGCCUGCCAUCCAUAGUAGCAAGUCCUCUCCUCCAUGAUGCGUGCGUGCGUGCGUGCUCCGGUAAAGUAGUAAGUCUUGUUGAUGCUGCCAUAGUCUUGUCGUCCUAAUAUUUGUUCUUGGAUCGAUCUUGAUGAGAUGAUCAUGCUUCUUGGAUCAGAUGAUCAAACAGAUUGGGUUUUGUCUGUAAUAUAGGAAUUCUGCCUCUCUCUCUCUCUCUCUCUCUCUCUCUCUCUUUGCUGCAACAUGCUUGUACCAGAGUAAGAUAAGAUCACAACCGAACAUGUAAAAUUAGUACUAGCUUCUGAAUGAAUUGAUCGUUGAAAAUGCACUGAAUUCCUCGGCUGCCAGAGCUGCUGAUCAUCAGAGCAGUAGCUAGUGAAUGAAUUGAACACUGAAAAUGCACUGAAUUCCUCGGCUGCCAGAGCUUAUGAUCAUCAGAACAGUAGCUUCUGAAUGAGUUGAACACUGAAAAUGCACUGAAUUCCUUGGCUGCCAGAGCCAGCUUGAGACGAUCGGAAUCUGAGAACAUUACAUUUUCCAAUGAAGCCGGUUGCAAUCAAUCCAUCAAUCAAGCCAGGCUGCUGCUCUACUCUACCCUACCUCAGCUAGCCUUGCUGCAAGAUGCUCACUGCAUCUCCUCCAAUAAUUGGUGGCUUCCUGCAGCAGCAGUCGCAUAGAAGAGGGCAAUGAUUGAUGUCCCCUCCCCUGCCUGCGCCGGGCCCUGGGCCCUGGCCACUCGAGAGACUUGAGAACACGGCGGUGCCUUGUCCUAGUCAUGGGCCCGGAUUUGGCAUACGGUUGCAGCUAACCACUGCGGCGGUGGGCCAGGCCCCUCUCGUCUCGUCUAAUCUGAUCCGAUCCGAUCCGAUCGUCUCCGCCUCCCCCUCCGGGCUUGUGUUUCAGUUUCUUUUUCCUGACGCCGAUGGAAUUGAUGCCCACUCCGCCUCGCUAUCAUCUUGUUUCUUUCUCUCUUUCUAGAAUUCUAGUGAUGAUCAAUGCAUCGUGCUAUCAGCUGAUGUGGACCGUGGUGGGCAUCUAAUGAGUUCUUCUUAGUCCACUCCACUCUCUCGCAGGGCAGGUAGAUAGAUCAAGUGGGGUUAUUUUUGGAUGAAAUAUGAAGAACAAACUCAAUUUAUAUGAUGAUGAUCGGCGACAGGGAGAGUUGGGGGCAGCUAGGAUUGGGUUUUAGAGGAUUUUUAGCUUCAGAUUGUGCUGUAAAUUUGCUGUAGAAUGCUUAAUUAGUACUCCGUAUCUUAGAUGAGCUUCAGGUUGUGCUGUAAACUUACUGUGGAAUUGAUGCCCAAUCUGCCUCUCUAUCAGCUUGUUUCUUUCUUUCUUUCUGAUCAAUGCAGUGUGCUAUCAGCUGAUAGAGACCGUGGUGGGCAUUUAAUGAGUUCUUCUCACUCCACUUUUUCGCAGGGCAGAUAGAUCAAGUGGGUUAUGAAGAACAGAUUAUAUAUGUGUGUGAUGAUGGAUGGCAGGGAGAGUCGAGCAACCGGACAGAUUUUAGCUUCAGCUUGUGCUGUUAAAUUAUUGCAGGAUGGUUAGCAAGUUUAUAUGUUUCUUGAUUGGGUGGUAAUUUGUUGAUGAUGGAGUGGUUGUGCCUUGUGAUCACGUCAGUGAAGCUGCGCCGGUGUUCUUCGGAAACAUUUUUUCGCUUGCUGUAAAAUUUGGAGUUCAUAUGCAGCAGCGCACAGUUGUGGAACAAACACACGUCCUCCUGCAUCUACAGUGCAGCACUCUGAUGAGUAAAGCUCCAGGGAAAGAAGCAGAGCCUAAAGAAGUACUGCAUAUGUGGUCUGCAGCUGAACAGAGCCACAUGUUAAGCCCGACUGUACACCUGAUCUAACUGUUCACAAAAAUACAGAAACAGAACUGCUCAGUAUUCAGAGCUUGCUCUAAUUUCAGACCUGCAAGGGAACAUUUCCCUUGCAGCUUGAUGAGGUAAAGAAUGUCUUUCUUUCAGGGUGUUGUUCAUCACACAUUUGACAAAAUAAAACAUUACACCUAAAAACCCCAAGCUGGACCUGAUAAGGCAAAAAAUGAAGCCCACUACAAAGACAACAGCCUAGGAAAAGAAGUAGCAGCACAUUCAUAUGCAAAUUACUUAGUUUGUUAGAGGAAGCAUCCAGCCAGAUAAAGCCAAUGCUAUUAUCGUCCAUGUUGGCUAAGGUUCCACUAAUUUCCCAUAACAAGAAGAACACAUAAAUGUAUUAGCAAAUGCAUAUGCUAAACCCUACAGAAACUUGAACUCUGCCGAAGAACUCCCAAACCCUUCAUUUUACCGGCAACAGAUAAAUGAAAUCCCCUAAAAACGCACGAGGAAAGUUGACAGACUGUACCGUGCUGUCAGUUUUGAUAUUUACAAUUGAUUAGACACUAACUAAGUCAUUUACAUGCAAACGAGUGUCCUCAAGAAUGGCCGUAAACGAGCAAUACCACAUAAAAGUGAAACUCUCCACAUCCUGGUUUGAAUGACCAAAGGAAACGCAGGUCUCAAGCCCAUAUAUGAAUAUGAUUCUUGUCGGCGGUGGCAAGAGGUCCAAACUCAGACCAUGCACUUGUAACAACCGGCAGCGAAUGGCCCUCUAGGAUGGUCGGACCCUCGUUCUUCGACCUCGACCAUAUGCAAACGGACCCAUCAGAGCAGCCAGCCGCUAUGCAGUUCUCAUCCGGGCUUAUACAAGCUCUGCCCCAGCUGCCAAUCAAUCUGUUACUCGGGGCCCUGAAUGUUCCACAAAUCUCCACUACCUCCGUCGGCAUUCUAACAUCAAAAAGCUUGUGCACACCGUCUCUCCCACUUGAAAGAACAUGAUUUUUGCUCCGGGUUACACAGACCGAGCUGACAUCGGCAUGACCUGCUACCGUGGCAAAGCAUUUUCCACUGCGGAUAUCGUGGAACUUCAGGCUUCCAUCCCUAUGACCUGAGCAAAUGGAAUCGCCAUGGAUGAAAGCUAGCGUAUUGGGGUUGCUUGCUGACAUUAUGGUGCUUUUACAGAAGCCAGUCUGGAGAUCCCAGAUCUUGAUAGUGCGGUCAUUGGAUGAACUAGCAAUGACCAAACUUUUCGCCCAGCUUGCGCCUACAGAACAGACAUUUUUUGUGUGGCCAGUCAGAGUGUGACGAGGACGCCCCCCAUUAAUUUCCCAUACAAACAACUUGUUAGAGCUACAGGCGGCAAUCACAAACUUGUUAUCAUUGGUCACGGCAAGAUCGUUGACAGUCCCCAAGCAACCCUGCAGAGUGGAGGUUAAAGCACCGGUAUGUGCAGACCAUAUCUUGACAGUUUGAUCCUGGCCACCACUGAUUAGCUUAUCUGUGUUAUUCUGAAAAAUUAUAGAUCCACACCCACCAUCAUGAGCACGGAUGGUGACCCUGCAUGUAGAUGGGAUUGGUGUUUCCAUGAUGUCGACAUAUCCAGCUUCAGACCGACGAAUGACGCCAUCAGCUUCUUGCUGUGCAUUGUGUUGUAUUCCGCCAGCGCCAAGCCCAGCUGCCUUGAGCUUUAGGACCAUCUCCUCAUACAUCGCAUUGGCCUGAACAAUUUUCUCCACACAGGUUAAAGCAGCAGUUUUUGGUAUAUACAAAUUCUCUGGGCACAGUUAUCUAUGUAAAACAUACUGAUAAACAAAUAAAACAUCUCUGACAGCUAAAACAACUAUAAAUUAGUAGUUCUUCUAUUUCCACUCUUGCUACGGAAACGAAAGGGUUUCAACAUUACAUACAAUUCCAAAAGGAGUCAAUAGUUUUACGGAUAAAAGGAGCACUACUGUUAUCAUGUAAACUUAUAGAGAGCUAAAGUAUUUAAAUAAUAAAAACUGAGACCGAAGCAAAAGACCACCAAAUAUAGUACAGCAAGUCUCUUGCGUUAUGUCAUGGUACGCAGCUAAGCAUGCUGGCACUCGAGGUAUCUCAUCGUAGAUUGACUGGUCGAGCGAUUGUGCAUUGUUAACAGGUGAGAAGAUUUUUUUCUGUAUCAUAUUAGUGGGCCUAACAGGUGCUUAAUAGGCAAGCACAAUCCUUGAACAGUCUUCAAAUUGCGAUAGCUCGUACAGUAACGGUGAAGUCUUAUAGCAAUAGUAAAAGGAGACAACAGGGUACCUCAUUAAGCUUCUCUGCCUCCACCAUCUUUGCUUGCAUCAAUCGCUCGACCAGCUGAGUGUUCUCAUGCUCCACAGCUUUCAGUUUCGUCAGCACCCGUUCAAGUUCUGCUUUAGCCGCCUGGUGCUCCUGAAUGAGAAGAUCUAAAGCGUUUGUCUUCUCUUCAAGCGACUCCUUUAGCUGUACGUUCUCUUCUCUGCAAAAGUUUCAUCCAGACAUCAACAGCAAUGCUCAUACUCAAUUAAACACAGCAGCAAAACUACCCAUCACAUUCAAUACCUAGUCUGCCCAAGUUCACUCUGCAAAGUUGUAAUCAGCGCCUCCUUCUCUUUGAGCAGCGCUUUGGACGUUUUCGCCUCGUUUAUCUCGGAAACGAGCUGCUCAGACAAGCGGGAUUGAGCCUUGUAGCACUGCUGCAGCUCCAACUCAUUCUUCUCGGCCUUUUCUUUCCACUCCAAAGCCUGCAAAGGGGGUCAGCAAACCAGUCAGCACGCGCAGAAGACACCACAGAAGUUCCAAGUGCAAGAAUUAGUUCUUAUUUUUGUGGAUUGCUGAGUGAAACUAUUCGACAUUGUGAUUGUGCUACUCCUACUUGAGCCGCAGUCACUGUUUCACCGCGAGAGAGGAGCAAUCAACUUCACACAUCCGACCCCAUCAACACAUUCUUUUCGAGGCUCUAUGCGGCUCGAAUGCGUGUUCACUGGCGAAGUCAAAUUGGCCAGAUUCGAUCGAAGCUCGCAAGAUCAGUAAGAAGAAGGGACCAGAGAUUGGUAGUACUUACGUGGGCGGCGAAGGGCCGAUUGAGCGCCUCGAUGGCGGGGCGGUGGGCCCCCUCCUCGACGAGAUGCCGCCGCCGCAGCGACCGCAGCGCGCGCCGUAUGGCCGCCUUGCCGGCAUCUGCCUCCGCCUGCGUCCUGCACCAACAACAACAAAAAACACACCACCCCUUAAGCAAACGACGGAGGAAUCACGAGAUUUGCUGCUCUGCUCGAGGAAAGCUCACAUGCUCGGGUCGAUCCCGUCGGCGGCGUCGGCGAGGUGGCGUGUCCGGCGGGGCGGGGCGGCGCGGCGCGGCGAGGGCGACUGACUUGGGUGGAGAGGAAGACGAAAGCGAAAGAGGAACGGAGCCGAUGGGGUGGCGUGUCCGGGCCGCCAAGGGAGCCCGCCCGGUUCGGUCGAUAUGGACUGGACUUUUUUUUUUUUACGCUCGUAAGGUGGGCUCGAGUCGGAUACGGGCUGGGGGAGGAGCUGGGCCUGAAACCCACUGGGCCGAGCGAGAUGCGGAUGGAGCGGAAUAUUCCGGCCUUGGCGACCGCGAGAGGCAUCUCCGCCUCCCACGCCGCCUUGCUUCCCGGCGAAAGCCACGGCCGUCUCCCUCCUCCCUUCCCAGCUUCCCUCACCCUCACCCCAACCCCACGUGCCGUGCCCCGCACGCAAAGCAUCAGCGCCUUCCUCCCCCCUCCUGCGUCGCCGGGCUGGUGCUGGCGCCCCGCCAUCUGAAUUGUGCCACCGAGGCGAGCGUACGGCGGAAUGGCGGUUGCCGCGCUCCUGCGCCGGGGGGCGCUCUCGUCGUCGUCCCGCCACGGUCAGUGCCCGCUUUCUUUGAAUGGCCUGUUGGGUUCCUGGGAGCCCUCUGCUCCUCUGCGUGCGUGGUGUGGUCCGUGGUGUUUCAUGAGCUGCUGGGAUUGUUCGCCGGCGCGCGUGCACGGCGUGUGUUCGACGGAAUGCCAGAGGCCGGGUGCGCGAUAUGCGGCGUUAGUGGUGUCGCCGAUCGGUGUCCAUUUGGAGGUCGGCUUCAUGCUGCAUGUUGGAUUGGAGGAGCAGUCGGGUCGGGCAAUGUGGCAAUCGUUUGGGAGAAUGGAAGAAAUGGAGAUGCUUUUCCUGUUGUUUGUGGCUGGGUGUUGUUCUGAUGGAUAUAGCAUAGCUGUGGGUUUUUCCUGUAUGUAGAGUACUUUUCGGUUGCAUAAUAGACGUCCUGGAAAGCAUCCAAUCAAACUUCUUUUACUUUGACCAUUCGUUUGAACUCUCUUUGUUUUACUAUAUUGUUUUCUUAUACUAAAUGUUUGCGGCGGCAUACUGGCAUUCAUAAGCAUCCAUGCAUCUUGUGUAUGGACACGUGCUUUUUAUUCUCAGAUGAUCAUUUUUAACAAGAGUUAGCUCGUGAGUUAAGAGAGUUGAGCCGAUUUCAUGUCUCAAUUCAUUAUGUUAAAUAGCCGAGCUGAGCUAACUCGUUAUUUAACGAGUUCUAACGAGUCGAGUCAGCUCAACUCUUUAUACACCCCUCAAUGGACAUCGAUGUAUACAAGAUAACUGAGAUUGGCCAACGAAAUGAUGCUAUUGCUUCACUAUAUUUGUUGUGGAAAAUAUUUUACAGUUAUAUAAUCUUAAUUUAUCUUACCAACAUAUUCAUAUAUUGGAAUAAUGGAGAAAGUUGCAUCUUGGAAACUGUCAUCUUGGAUGGAGGGACUAUAACCUUAUGGCAUGGCGUUAUGAUAUUACUGCUUAGCACAAUAGAAAAAUUCUUUUUGGGGUGAAUGUGUCAUCUAUUUAAACCUAGUCUGUUGUGAUUCGAACAGUCUUAUUCACUUCUGUAAGCACAUUCGACUCUGAGAACUAUCAGUCGUUCGUGCAGCUCCUGCUUACCGUGUUAGGUAGAAAAAGCAGAUCAGGCAGUGUGUUAGUCACUUGCAUUGUGAUUACCAAUGUGGACUGUUAUUUCCUGCAAUAUGCUUUAUGGUGCCAAAACUUUGGUAGGUUGGUCCAUUGUUCUAAGAAAAAAAAAUUAACACUUUUUGUGUACAGAUGUUUAUAUCCGUUGCCUUCUCUCCUAUUCUGAUCUACAUCCCUUGGUUAAUUCUGCCAAUUUGAGAUUUUGGAGGGGCAACCACAGCUCUGGGAAGUUCGAUUUCACUGAUAUGACGUAAGAAUACAUUUUGUUCCCCUUUCAUCAUUACUUAAUAUCCAAGUUUUCUCUGCAUUUUCUUGUCAGUGUAUAACGUGUGCAUUAUGUACCAAUGUACUAUAUCUUCAAGGGAAUUUGUUUCUUGCCUUCUUAAAACAAUCGUCCAGUGUGGGAUGCUGGUAUCCAGUAUGAUUCAUCUAAUUAAGUGAAAACAGAAGGAGGCAAUAUUAUUCUUGUUUCAAAUAUGACAACUACUGACACAACAGUGAUGCACAUACUAUUUUAGUUCGUUUAAUUAGCCUAAGCAAUCGUCACACCUAAGUGCAAUGUAACUUUUCGAGAUUAAUUAUGUGCCAAGAUAUGUUGUAAACACUGUUUUCUUUAUUGUCCCAUAAAGACUUGAAUUAAGUUCUGUGCUAUCUUGAGUAACAGGCAUCCUCAUUUAUGGUAUCCGAAUGCCCGAGAAAAGAAGCGCAAUGUAUUUUUGCAUGUUGGUCCUACAAACAGUGGGAAAACACAUAAUGCUCUCAAACGAUUAGAAGCAAGCUCUUCAGGUACUGUUUUGAUCUACCCAGUCAAACUGAAAGAGCAUACAGUUUAAAUGAAUGCUCUGAUUUCUAACCAAAUGAUGUAGGUGUGUACUGUGGACCUCUAAGAUUGUUAGCACGGGAAGUAGCAGAAAGAUUGAACAAAGCUAGUGUCCCCUGUAACUUAACUACUGGACAAGAAAGGGAAGAAAUUGAAGGCGCAAAGCAUAGUUCAGUGACGGUUGAGAUGGCUGAUGUGACGACUGAGUAUCAAUGUGCUGUUAUUGAUGAAAUUCAGGUAUUUAGUUAUCCACAUUUUGCGCACUCGCUAGGAAAAUGUAUAUUUGUACUAUAUUAUCAAGCUAUUUUUCCAAUAAACCAUCCAACUAACCAUACUUUGAACUGUGUACAAAACAUUGUUUGGAAUGUUCCUCAUAAUUCUCAUUUCAUUUGCUUUGACGUAGUAGAUGGUUGGCUGUAGAACAAGGGGUUGUUCAUUUACACGUGCACUUCUGGGGAUUUGUUCAGAUGAGCUUCAUGUUUGUGGUGACCCAGCUGUUGUCCCUAUUAUUCAGCGAUUGCUUGAAGCUACUGAUGACGUGGUUACGGUAAUUUAACCAAAACUCACGUAAUUUCUGAUGAUUAUUAAUGUACCCAGUAUGUAAUGUCUUCUAUACACAUGAUAGUUGUGAAAUUGAAUUGUAUUAAGGUUGCUACUUAUGUUCCUCUGCCAGGAUAAUACACUAGUUAUGAAAUUGAUUUUUUCCCACAUGGGCAGUAAAUUCAAUCCUUCUUACAAGAAGAGUAGGACGAUGUAAUUACUCAAUAUAGGUAGGACGAAGCAGUAGUAAAUAUCACGUCACAUGUUUCCAAAUUGUCUCCCAGUUCCAGCAGACAGUCAUUUUCUGAACUGAUCAUAUCUUCAACACACAAUUUUGUAUGAUGGAAUCAUGAAAAUCGGGGAUAACAAAAUCAGUCUAUCUUAGGCCUUUGCCAAAGGUAUGCUUUCUAACCUGUUACUCAAGUAAUGCUCUGCCAUGUACCAGUUUUAACUUCUAAUCCUUCGCCUCAAAUUUAGGUUACAACCCUAUUGAGUAGUAAGUACUCCCUCUGGAAACUAAUAUAAGACCGUUUUAUAUUAGUUUACAAAGAGAGUACUAAGUAGUAACACUAAUUCUGGACCUGUGCAUGAAUACUGUGUGUGGUCAUGUGGAUCUUCUUUUUGUUAGAGUUGUGGGGUUGUUCUACGAUUGGAGACAGUUUCGAGGUGAAUUUUAUAAACUCUUCAUGUCCAUCGUGCUAUGUAGUAGUUAUUUUUAGUGCUAAUUCUGCCGAGUACUGAUGCAAACAUCUCGAGAACAAUAUGUUACAUCAGCAAAUAUCCUAACAUGCUAAUAGUCAAAAAAAAAUCCUAACAUGCUGGGUCUAUGUUGCUGAACAGAUUCAAUAUUAUGAGAGACUAUCUCCUUUGGUUCCUUUGAAGUCUACACUUGGACCUUUCUCAAACAUCAAGGCAGGGGAUUGCAUCGUAACGUUCUCACGGCGUGAGAUAUAUAAGCUUAAGGUUGGUAUUCUUCAAGUGACUAUUCAAGCAAUCAUUGUUUGGGAACAUGUCAUAAAAUUAGAGGGUCAUACAAAAGAAAACUGAGAAAGUCUCACUAGUUUGGGAAAAAAGCUCAGAAACUCGAAUGUCAACUUUAUUUACCCUAUCAGCCCAAUUGGAUGUCAACAUGUAAAUUUGGAAAUGAUGAAAACUCUCUGUGCUCAUGUAUGACUAAACCGUUCUCUAUCCAAUUUUAAGUUUUGAACACCACACUUUUUAAUCCCAGAAAGAAAGGGAAGGGACAAUUAUUUGACCUUGGCAGUCAAACUAUCUUAUGCCUGGAAAUUGUAUAUCUGCAUACCAGGAGUUAAUUACUUUCUCUGUAAAGUAAUAUAAGAUAUUUUAGAUCAUAAAGUAGUGAUCUAAAUGGUCUUAUAUUACUUUACAGAGAGUGUACAACUGAUUUUGGUUCUUGGUAUUGUGCUCGGUGAAGGAAACAAAAAUACAUCCGUGGCAAAGUAAAUUGGGAAGAUGNNNNNNNNNNNNNNNNNNNNNNNNNNNNNNNNNNNNNNNNNNNNNNNNNNNNNNNNNNNNCGAUCGAUACUCACUAAAAAAUUAACAAACAACGUGGGGGGGGGGGGCGUCAUGAUCGUUAAAUAAUUAAGAACCUUAGCAGUUUUAAGUAAACCCUUACGUACAAUGUAAAACUGUUACAUCAAUGCAACUAUGUAAGGAUAGCACACCUUCCGCACUAAGUUGUAAUAGUUAACAUGUCAUGUUGCAAUAGCAAUGGUAGUUAUGUGACAUGAUAGAUAGUUCAAUUGAUAACAUAUUCACCAGCGCAGCUGUUUCUCAUAAAAUGCAACAUGACGAAACUUGUUUUUGUAGUCCCUCCGUUCCAAAAUACUUGUUGUGGUUUUAGUUCAAAUUUGUUGAACUAAAACCAUGACAAGUAUUUUGGAGCGAGUAGUUAGCAACCAUCCAAGCAUCUCUGCUCUCCUUUCACUUCUUCAUGAUACAUGUUGGUUGAAUAUUCCCCAAAAAUGUAAGCAGUGAAAAUUAAAAUGCAAUCCCAUGACUCUUUCCAGAAGAACCAGUUAAGCCAGGUCCGCCAGUACUCCGGUGCAAAGAUUUGCUCCAGUGAUCCUGCGCUUCCUAGCCUAACUAAAGGAGAAAUUUGUGCUCAUAGUAGCAUCACUACUUACCAUUGUUAGUUUAUACCCAUAUUCCCAUAGUAUGUGGCUACGUGCCCAAAUACAUGACAAUGUUUUUUCUUUUGAAGAAAGAAUACAACACAUUGAUGCAUCAUUCUGUUAUUUUGUGGACUAGAGGGCUCUAUAUUUGUAUUAAAAUCACACAUCUGCCAGAUAAAGUGAAAUGCAGAGCUUCAGCUACCCUGAUAUUGCGAAUUUUCAUUCAUGCAGAAAAAAAUUGAAAUGGCGGGAAAACAUCUUUGCUCUGUAGUCUAUGGCUCAUUACCACCAGAAACUCGAACGAAGCAGGUAAUUUCUAAUACUUUAUUUGGUUUUUUUUUGCGAAAAUACUUUAUUUGGGUAUGCCCCAUCAUACUAGUAUUAGAACAUAUACCUCAGUGAUUGUCAUAUAUCUGUAGGUCCUAUAAUUAGAAGUAAGGUGAAAUAUCACACCUUCCAUUUGAACAUGUUGACAUGCAUAUCAGCGCAUUUAAUUUAGUAAACCUACUCAUUGAUAAUACAUUCUGAACAAUAAAGCAUUUUUUUUACAAUUACAAAACCCAUUCUAUCAAUGCUGCUUUAAAUGUUUUGUAAUUGAGCACAAUGUUCAAUGUUUGAAACAUGUACUUUGAGUUAUUAUAUUGUUGAUUUGCACCUGCUAUUUGCGAGGAUUUUUAAUGAACACCACUUAUUUCUGUCUGUAUAAUUUAUUAAUACAACAGGCCCACAACUCUUGGCCAGAAUUAGAAGUUCAUGAAUUAUAGUUGUAGGCAAUAAAUUCACUCUCUUGCUUGUCGUACUUUAUUCUCCAUGAUGGCAUGAUUGUUAUGGAUAAAUUUGUUGAUAUGCUCCCUAAGCUUCCAGGCGACAAUGUUCAAUGAUGAAGCCAGUGACCUUAAUGUGCUAGUGGCUAGCGAUGCUAUUGGAAUGGGUCUUAAUCUGAACAUUUCUAGAAUUAUUUUCUCCACACUCAAGAAGUUUGAUGGUAUCUCCACCAGGGAAUUGACUGUGCCUGAGAUCAAACAGAUUGCUGGUAUUAUGUUUGCUUUUCAGUUGUUUUACCCCUGGCAGUUUUCUCUUCCCUUAUUACACAGCCCUCUUGAGCUGUGAAUUGAGCUUGUCCUGCAUGUCUUAUAUUUUUGGUAGGCAGAGCUGGGAGAUAUGGGUCUAAAUUCCCAGUUGGCGAAGUGACCUGUCUAGACGCUGAAGAUCUCCCAUUACUACACUCAUCCCUGAAGUCACCUUCUCCCAUUAUAGAGGUGCCCACCCAUUACUGAGCAACAUAAUUAAUCCAACUGUUAUUAUAUGAUGAAACUUCAAGAAGCUCUUUAUGACUCGUAUGUGUAAAAGCUAACCACAGAUGCCGCAUUGCUUUAUCUGCAGCGUGCUGGACUUUUUCCCACAUUUGAUUUAUUGUCCGUGUAUUCACGAUUGAAUGGAACUGACUUUCUUCACCCUAUAUUGGUAAGCUAUAUAAGUACCAUCUUUUUCGUAUUGAAAUGCAUUGGUUCAAGCACAGAGCAGCUUCGUACUUCUAUAACAUGUUACUUGUCAAUGCCAAAGCGAAAUGUUACAGUAAAAAAUGGUUAAUGAUAAUAGCAUUUUAGUUAUGCCAGUUUGGAUGGGGCAGUGACUUAUUGUAGUUGGUGCAAUCAAUUAUGCACAUACAAUAAUUUAGCUAUAUUUCGAGGUAUCUUGUAUUUGUCUGGACGCAGCUUGACAUUGCUUGUUCACAAGUCUCAACAAUUAUAAAUUAGAGUUUACUUUUUCUCUAUGUACUUUUUCAGUAAUGUGUUAUCUUCUUCUUUCCCAUUGAAUGAAUCUCAAUGCUUUGCGUGUAUUUACAGCUAUUUCCUCUGGACAGGACUCAGAAAUAUGUGUUACCCUUUUUUCAUUCUGCUGCAGGAACGUUUCUUGGACAAGGCUAAACUGUCUCCGGACUAUUUUAUUGCCGAUUGCGAAGAUAUGCUGGUAUUUCAUUUCAUUAAGAAACACAUUUUUCUCUGUUUGGUCAAUUUCUACAAGCGACAUCUAAACAAUGUAAAUAAGAUUACCUGGGUGGAAAAGCGCCAACUGUUUGACUGCUUUCUUUUAAAAGGCAACAACUUAGCAUUUUAUUUAAAUUAACAACUUUGUAACUGUAAGGUAGAUUUAUUUCUGCUAUUGAUUUGUGGUUCAAUAUUUUAUCUAGUCACAUUUCUUCCUCCCACUGUUAACAGAAAGUUGCUGCUAUUGUUGAUGAGUUGCCUCUUGCGUUGCACGAUAAGUACGUCUUCUGUCAAAGGUGAUUUACAAUCUGUCCCAGUAUUAGCAUAUACCUUUUCUAGAUUCUGUUGUUCUAAUCUAUUGUCGCCUAUCUGGCAUCCUGAUCACUUUCUGACACUUCAUACUGCAGUCCAGUGGAUGUGAGGGAUGAUAUAUCUACUCAAGGAUUAACACAGGCAAACAUUUCUACCUCUAUUGUUUACUUGUAUGUUUUUGUAGAAUUAGGAAACGGUUUCAGUAAAAAUUUCAAGAUGCAGUUUGCAGAAAAUUAUGCAAAGAAAGGCACAGUUCGGCUUAAAGAAAUAUUUACACCUGGAACACUGCGGGUGCCUACAACACACAAUCAACUCCAGGAGCUUGAAUCAGUUCACAAGGUAAUUCCAUAUUUUAUUUCUCUAGCAAAUUAUAUCAGAAGAUAAUACCUGUAAUUUGCCAGUCAAUAUCAGUGCUACUAUAUAUCUUGUCCAUGUUCUUCUAAUCACUUUUUUUUUUUGGUUUGAACAUGUGCAUGUGCAUUGUCUAUUCUAUUGUGAAGACAUUUUCUUUUUUGCAUUAUAUAAACUUCCAAGUCAAAAUCAAAACUUGAGAGUUCCAAGGAUGGUACAGCGUACAUAGCAUAGACUACCACACUCAAAAUAAGAACAGGUCUACCAGAAUUAACUCAAAAUGCUGUCGAAGUAUGGGAAAGUCAUAUUAAUUAACUGGAUUAUCCCAUAUGGUCCUAAGCAAGAGACACUCAAAUUAAGGAAUGCUGGUCAUCAGUAAAUUCUGUCAAUGUAACUACUUGCCAUGUAGGGAUUUUAGAGCCCUGACACUGAAAUUACGUGUCAGUUGGUACAGAAACUAAAGCAAACCACUUAAUAAUUGGUUUAAGUGCUGAGCCUAGAGCUUCUUAGAGACUAUACUAUACUUAUCAAAACAGUGGUGGAUCCAUAAUUUUAAAAAGAAACUCGGUUGAUAAUCAUCCUCAGUGCGAUCAAAUCCUGCUGCUCCGCAGCGUAGGACCCCCNNNNNNNNNNNNNNNNNNNNNNNNGCCCCCCCCCCCCCCCUAUCACUGGGCUAGCACUCAUUUCUCAUUGAUCCAUAAUUUUAUACUCGUAGGCCUAACACAUGCCAUUACGUAAUUCAGUGGGCUUUAUCAAGUACUCUGUUGCAUUAGGUCUGUGUGCAUAUAAGAUGAGUUUUUUUGGAAAAUAUUGGACUAGACACUUGCCAUUUUAGGCAACAGUUACUUCUGGAGCGUUCCUAGUUUCUGCAGUAAUUAUUUAGAUUCCAUUUUGGCACGCACGCUGCCUCGAAACUGUUUCUAAAGUAAGAUUAAUCAGCAUCGCAUUUGUGAUCACUGCAGGUCCUAGAGUUGUAUGUGUGGUUAAGCUACAGAUUUGANNNNNNNNNNNNNNNNNNNNNNNNNNNNNNNNNNNNNNNNNNNNNNNNNNNCCCAGAUCGUGAAUUGGCGGCUUCCCAAAAGUCAAUAUGCAGCAUGUGAGCUCUUUGAUAUUCUUUUUUGAAUUAGAAUAAAAAGAAAAAAGAGAGUUUAUUUUUCCAUCUUUUUUCACAAAUAACCUGAAGGUCUGAUUGGCAAUGUUAGGUUGAUUGAAGAAUACCUUGAGAGGUCAGGAUGGCAGCAACAAGGACAAAGAAGGUUUUUGCAUACUCCACGGAAAUUGCGCCAAGAAUAUGAUGCGUCACAAUUGUAUGAUAUAUCUCUUCAGAUGCCAUAUAUUAUUUGCAUUCUAAAAGAUGAAUCAAUAUGCUAUAAUUUGUUUAGCUAAAAGCCAUGUUUCUCAACCUUCUGCAACUUUCAUAAUUCUGCGCCUCAACUCUGAACCCCUUUCAAAUAAGUAGGGAUGGUGACAAAUAGAAUAAUAUAUCAUGCAUCUACUACAUCCACGUGUGCUUAGUCAUUGUUGGUAUUUUCAUCUUCUUUUGCAUUUUACCUUAAAAUAUAUUUUUUCUAGGCCGACGCAGUUGAUUUUCUCAAGUGGUUAUGACUUGCGAUGUGUGUGCUUGUUUAUGGGCUCAUAUUCUUUCCUUUUUUCCCCUUUAUGUUUUGUCUGAGGAUACAUUUACUAUCUUGACAUAAACUGAACUGUACUAAAUUCCUAGAGGCUUUUAAAAGAGUUUAGGGGUAGUGAUAUACUGCAUCAUGCAUAUAGAAUUGUUGUUCUAUCACUAUGUGCUGCCAUUACAAUAUAUUUUCAUGCCUUUCUCUUGAUGUGAGCCUCUAGUGCACUUGACCACAUAAUAUUGUUUGUUAAAACUUAAAAGGCACUGUUGCUAAAAAAAAUCCUUGUACUUCCGUAAGAAAGUGCUGUUACAUAAGAUGAUUAAUUUUAAGAUCAUUGUCUUCCCUUCUUUUUAGAACAUUUGUUUCUUGAUGUAACCAUCUUCUGGUUAAUGAACAGGCGCGGGUAUUUUCGAGAAAUUGACGCAAGAUCAAAAUAGAGGCUGAUUCAAGAAACGGCACCUCGCCAUAUUUGGUCAAUAUUUGAGCAAAUGUCCAGGGCAUGCAUCUGACUAUUCCUACUAUGUGAAAUGUGAUCACUAGCAAGCAGCGAUAAAAUGACACCUGUGUGAGAGAAGAUCUACCUGGACUCGCCUUUCAACGUCAUUGAAGUUGACCUCAAGUAGUCAAUGUGGCAGCACAUAUAAUAUUAUUCUCCAUCCAUCAGAUUUGUACUAGUUCUUCAGUAGCACUUUCUGUAACUAGUACAAAUGGAAUUGUACAUUACAAGUAAAAAAUGAAGUGCAGGCAUGAAAAAUCAUUUGUCAUAUUGCAUUGCUCCAUUCCAAAUUAUUUGAUGUUCUAGCAUGGUCCUAAGUCGAACUUCUUUAAGUUUGACCAAUUCUAUUUAAAAAUACAUCAACAUGUAAAACACCAAAUUAAUUUAAGUAGUUUCCUCAUAAAAUACGUCUUGCAUACUAUAUGUGUAUUUGAUGAUGUAAAUGUUAGCACAUUUUGCUGUAGACAUGGUCAAAUGUAUAAAAGUUUGACUUAUGACAAAGCUAGAACUUCAUGUACUCCCUCUGUUCCUAAAUAUAAGUCUUUUAAGAGUUUCUACUAGAAGACUACAUAUGGAUGUAUAUGGACUCAUUUUAGAAUGUAGAUUCUGUCAUUUUGCUUUGUAUGUAGUCAUCUAGUAGAAUAUCUAAAAAGACUUAUAUUUAGGAACGGAGGGAGUAAUUUGGAAUGGAGGGAGUAUAUGCAAUGAUGAUAAUUUUCAUGCCUUAACUCUAUGGUAUCAGAAAGGCAUAAAUGUGUUUGCUCAACUGUUGUCUGUUGGUAAUAAGGGAGGCGUUUUUUUUUUUUUUUUUUGAACAAUGGGAGGCGUAAAUAAGGCUGCUGAUUUUGUGAAGUCUGAAUGCUGUCCUAUUUGAUUUUACAUGUCCAGUUGCAUUUUCGUGAACAACCUCUGUAGGGCUUGCAGGAAACUCUUUAUAUAUGCUAUAAAACGCUUCAUGGUGAACUGUUUCUACAUUCUUUUUAUACUGUGGACGUUGAUGAAAAGGAAUAAAAUCAACAGUUGGUACGGGACUUACGUCUUGACCAAUGUCCUUACUGCUAUGGAACUUCUGUUAUUCUUUUUUCCCUUGUUCAAAAAUUUGUCCGAUUAACCAGUUAAUUUGUCGAUUAAUCCCUAUUUGUAAGGUCAUCGAGCAGCCGAUAAACCGAUAAAUCAUCAGAUUAAUUCAACCUACCAGUUAACAAUUUUCUUAACAAUGCUUUUUUCUGGUGUUGGGAAUAUAGUUCAAUGUAGCAGAGUAACAGAAAUGCAAUAGAUCAACAACAGUGUAAGACUUGCGCUUCGAUGAACAGAUAGGUCGAAUGAUAAACUUGUAUUACUGAUUUUGUACCUUCCCAUUUGCCCUAAGGUUCAUCAUGACCAAAAACGUUUGACAGUUCAUCAUAAUGUCGUCCAGCAGCACUAUCCUUUCCCAAACAAGGGGAGCCAUUGUGUUUCACAGCAGCUGCUUGCAGGGUGAGAAGUUGAAUCUUUUUCUUCCCUGAAUGGAGAUUCGCCUUAUCAAGCUUCUCCGCCACGAGAUCAAAUGUUUCUUUCUUUGGCGCAAAACCCUUCAGCACCAUCUCCUCCAAGAACAGGCAAGACUGAGCAGGCUUCCCGUUCCGGCACAGCCAGGUUACCAACAGGGUAUAGGUGCUGAAAUCAGGGGUGAUGUCCUUCCUGAACAUGUGGCAUAUGAGGAACCGGAGGACCUUUAUCCAUUGCCUUUUGCAGCACAGCUUCAGCAAUGGGGUGUACGUCUUGAUGUCAGGCUUGCAUGACUGCUCCUCCAUCUUAACCAGCAUCUUCAGGGCAUUCUCUGCCUGAGAGUGGUCACAGGCAGCAGAAAUCAGGGUGUUGAAGGUGGCGACAGUGGGGCGAACUCCAGUCAUGCGCAUCUUGUCGACGACGGAGUUUGCGUCCUCCAGUCUCCCUGCUCUGCCGAGUAUGUAGAUGAGAGAGUUGUAGAAGGAAGCGUCUGGGGCACAACCAUCGCUCCUCACCUUGUCAAAUAUAUCCAAAGCUUCUUGCGUUCUUCCAGCCUUCCCUAGCGCGUGCAUCACGAUCGUGUAUGUGAUAACGUUUGGAGGGCAACCUUUCGAGCGCAUCUCGUUUAGGAUGGCGUAAACCGUCUGAAAAUCUUUCUCCAUGCAGUAUGCUUCUAUCAGGCUGGUGUAAGUUAUCACUGAAGGCUUGAAGCCAUGUUCCUCCAUCUCCUUCAUCAUAUCACGGGCUUCGUUCAUCAUCCUCGCCUUGCACCACCCAUGGACCAAGGUGUUGAAGCUACUCUCGUCAGGAGGUACCGAUCCCCUCAACUCUUGGAAUGCGCCUCUCGCGCGCUUCACGCUCCUCUCCUUGCACAGCGUGUCUAGGAGCACGUUCAUGGCUGUGGUGUCUUUCACAACACCAAACUGGUCCAUUUUGUUGAAGGCGUCUAUGGCAUCGGUCCACCUGCUUGCCCCAGCGAGCCUCCUCAUCACCUUUGUCAUCGUUGCCAGCGACACCAGACCACCAAUCUCGUCCAUCUGACUGAUCAAGCCCCACAUCAAAUCAAACUGUUUGAAUUUUCCUAGUAUGUCAACCAUCGAGUUGUAUGAAUCAGCAGAGUGGCGGUAGCCUUCCUGAGCACCGGCCCACAUAAAGAACCCGAAUGCCGCCACCCAAUCGCUGCCGAACCUCCUCAGGAUCUUGUCGACCAUGCGGUCUGAUACCCUGACAGGGCAGCAGUCCAUGGCUAUCACGAUGGCCUCCGGAGACGCGAAGCAAGAGGUCAGGAUCCUGCUGGCUUCAUCGAAAUCAGCUUCGAACUCGGCGUCCUCAUGGGAGGCAGCCUCGGGGCGGAUCGACAGAGGCUUGGAGCCGCCUCCAUGGCUCCGUUCCUCCACGGGAUUGGACUUGAUCGGGAGCACAAAUUCGUCAUGGUCAUCUUCAUCAAAAGAGUCGCCAUCCUUCUUUGGGUUCCUGAACCAUUCGGGCAGCUCGAAGCCUGCGGUGCAGAACCGUGAAGCGUCCCGGUUCCCUUUAUGUGGCCGGAGCAUAGCCAGCUGCGACGCGAUGACCCGGCAGCAUCGUAGCAUUCUUCAGCUCAGAAGCCAGAACAGGCAGGCAAUUCGUCGAGCACCUUGUCCGCGCGGCCAGGCGGCACCGGGCUCUGCCGCAAGGGCAGUCAAGGACCCACCGUCGGCGCUAGUCAGGUCCAGACGCUGGACCUCUAGGGACACUAGUACCCUGAGAGAGAUAGAGGGGAGCUUGGCGGCGAUGCGGCCGUCGGGGUUGGGAGUGGUCUGUGGUAGGCUGCUAGAUAGACGCGAUGGGCGACGGGGAGAGCGCCGCGGCGGGAAAGGGGGAGCUUGAGCGUAAGGAGGAGUUGCGAAUGGGCCGUGCUGUGCUGCUAGCUAGACGCGAUGGGCACGGGGCGAGCGCCGCCGCGGGCGGCGUGGUUCCGUCUCGCGGUCGGCGGCGAGGUAGAGCACCCGAAGUACGGAGUAGGACUGGCCAGCCACCAGAAAAGUUUUGCGAGAAAACCAAGACUCGACUGCCAAAAGUUACUCAAAGAUUAGAAAGUACUCUAUGUGAAUUUGAAAAGAGGACGUCGUCCGGAAGAAUGAUAAAAUAUGAUCAACCGAAUGAAAUUAACUAAGAUGACUGCUAGGCGUUUACCGUCGGAUCCUUUUAAAAGAUCCAUCAAUUCAUCUAGCUUCAUCCAUCGGCUCAGCCUCAUACUCAUCAUUGUAACAACGAUGGUGUUAUGGCGAUGACACGCAGCGUGUUUGCCCCGUCACCAACGCCUACAUCACAGCAGCGAAGGUGUCCCUGAAGCACCUAGGUGUCCCUUAUAUCCCUUCAACAGUGGCAAUCAAGUUACGUCCUGAAUAGCAGCAAAGAGCUUGACAAUUGAGAAAGAUGUAGGUGAAGAAAUAGGUAGGAGACGAAAUGAAAAGAUAAGGUUAAAGGCGAGCGGCUAUCAACCGGUGCAUGGUCCACACCAGGACGCGUGACACCCAGCCGAUGCGGCGGAUUUCUUUCGAGAAUCAGCCGACUGAAGCCGAGCAUUUUCCAUUAACUAAUCCCCGAUUAAUUUUACGAAUCUAUUCAUGCAAAAUAAAAAAAUAUGUGUUGUGUUACAUAAAUGGAGGUCGGCAAAGGACGAAGUGACAAUGUAAGUGGGAAAUGGUUCCAAGAUUUAUGCAAUCUCCGUCGACACGUUCGCUCUUCAAUUAUCAUCGGGAUUAGUGAUGAACCUGAAUAAUAGUUAUUUAGUGUCUGCGUUGAGCAUGAACAUUAUAUCUGGAUCAUGUUUAUUGCGAGACGGUAACUCAUUUAAAUCAAAGAAUAAUAGUUGUUCUAUUUAUAUGAGUAAUAUCUUUUAUGGUCAUGCACCCAAUGUGAGGGGUUUAUUCUUAUUGAAUCUCGAUAGUGAUAGUACACAUGUUCAUAACAUUGAUGCCAAAAGAUGUGAAGUUAAUAAUGAUAGUAUCACUUUUUUGUGGCACUGCCGCUUAGGUCAUAUUGAUGUAAAACGCAUUAAGAAGCUCCAACCUGAUGGACUUUUUGAUUCACAUGAUUUUGAAUCUCUUGACACAUGUGAACCAUGCCUCAUGGGCAAGAUGACUAAAACCCUGUUUUUUGGAUUAAUGGAGCGGUCCGAUGAGCAUUGACGCACGCGAUAGAUAUCAUUAUUUUUUCACCUUCACUCAUGAAUUAAGUAGAUAUGGGUAUAUUUACUUAAUGAAACACAAGUUUGAAACGUUUGAAAAGUUCAAGCAAUUUCAGAGUGAAGUUGUGAAUCAUCGUAACAAGAAGAUUAAAUUCCUACGAUCCGAUCGAGGAGGAGAAUAUUUGAGUUAUGAGUUUAGCACUCACCUAAGACAAUGUGAAAUUGUUUCACAGUUGACACCGCCUGGAACACCACAGCGUAAUGGUGUGUCCGAACGUCGUAAUCGUAUUUUAUUGGAUAUGGUGUGUUCUAUGAUGUCUCUUGCCGAUUUGCCAUUAUCAUUUUGGGGUUAUGCGUUAGAGACAGCUGGAUUCACUUUAAAUAGGGCACCAUCUAAAUCCGUUCAUACGACGCCAUAUGAACUGUGGUUUGUCAUGAAACCAAAGUUGUCAUUUCUUAAAGUGUGGGGAUGCGAUGCUUAUGUCAAAAAGCUUCAGCCUAAAAAGCUGGAACCCAAAGCGGAGAAAUGCGUCUUCAUAGGAUACCCAAAAGAGACGGUUGGGUACACCUUCUAUCUCAGAUCCGAAGGCAAAAUGUUUGUCGCUAAGAACGGAACAUUUCUUGAGAAAGAGUUUCUCUCGAAAGAAUUGAGUGGGAGGAAGAUAGAACUUGAUGAGGUUGUUGAACCUUUACUUCAACCGGAGAGUAGCGCAACAGGGAAAGAUGUUUCUGUGGAGCCUACAUCAAUUGAAGAGGAAGAUAAUGAUGAUAAUCAUGGAGCUUCACAUCAAGUUGCUAUCGAAUCUCGUAGGUCAAGAAGGGCACACAAUGCUCCUCAGUGGUACGGUAACCCUGACUUAACAGUCAUGUUGUUGGAGAACAAUGAACCUACGAGCUAUAAAGAAGUGAUGGUGGGCCCGAAUUCCAUCAAAUGGUUAGAGGCCAUGAAAUCCGAGAUAUGAUCCAUGUACGGAAAAAAAGUAUGAACUUUGGAAGUAUUACCUGAAGGGGGAAAGGCCAUUCAGAAUAAAUGGAUCCUUAAGAAGAAGACGGACGCGGACGGUAAUGUCAUCGUCUAUAAAGCUCGACUUGUGGCAAAGGUUUUUUUUCACAAGUUCAAGGAAUUGACUACGAUGAGACUUUCUCACCUCUAGCGAUGCUUAAGUCCGUCAGAAUCAGGUUAGCAAUAGUUGCAUUUUCUGAUUAUAAAAUUUGGCAGAUGGAUGUCAAAACAUUGUUCCUUAACGUUUUCCUUAAGGAAGAGUUGUAUAUGAUGCAAUCGGAAGGUUUUGUCGAUCCAGAUAAUGCUGACAAGGUAUGCAAACUCCAGCGAUCCAUUUAUGGGCUGGCACAAGCAUCUCGGAGUUGGAACCAACGCUUUGAUGAGGUGAUCAAGGUAUUUGGGUUUAUACAAGUUCAUGGAGAAGCUUGUAUUUACAAGAAAGUGAGUGGGAGCUCUAUAGUGUUUCUAAUAUUAUAUGUGGAUGACAUAUUGCUGAUUGAAACAAUAUAUAAUUUUUGGGGAGCGUAAAAGAAUAUUUGAAUAAGAGUUUUCCAAUGAAGGACCUAGGACAAGCUGCUUUCAUAUUAGGCACCAAGACUCGACUUCCAAAAGUUACUCAAAGAUUAGAAAAUAUGUUAAUUUGAAAAGAGGAUGUCGUCCGGAAGAAUGAUAAAAUAUGAUCAACCGAAUGAAAUUAACUAAGAGGACUGCUACGCGUUUAUCGUCGGAUCCUUUUAAUAGAUCCAUCAAUCCCAUGGUUGUUAGAUCUAGCUUCAUCCAGCGGCUCAGCCUCAUACUCAUCAUUGUAACAACGAUGGUGUUAUGGCGAUGACACGCAGCGUGUUUGCCCUGUCCCCAACGCCUACAUCACAACAGCGCAGGUGUCCCUAAAGCACCUAUGUGUCCCUUAUAUCCCUUCAGUAGUGGCAAUCAAGUUACGCCCUGAAUAGCAGCAAAGAGCUUGGCAAUUGGGGGGAGAUGUAGGUGAAAAAAGGUAGGUGACGAAAUGAAAAGAUAAGGUUAAAGGAGAGCGGCUCUCAACCGGUGCAUGGUCCACACUAGGACCCGUGACACCCAGCCGACGCGAUGGAUUUCUUUCAAGAAUCAGCUAACUGAAGCCGAGCAUUUUCCAUUAACUAAUCCCCGAUUAAUUUUAUGAAUCUAUUCAUGCAAAACAAAAAAAGAUGUGUUGUGUUACAUAAUUUUUUCCAUCUUGUAUUAAAAAAUAAGAACUAUUUUGUUGACCUAUUUACAUGUGUGUUUAUACAAAUCCCAAAAAUGUUCACUCUGAAUUUGUUCGCUUGGUGAAAAAAAUUAUAUAGUUUGUCCUUAUAAUUCAAAAAUAAUAAUCUUGUAUGAUUCCUGUGGUGCUACUAGUGUCUAUCUUGGAUUUAACUACUCGCUCCGUUUCUAAAUAUAAGUCUUUUAAGAGAUUUCACUAGGUGACUACGUACGAAGCAAAAUGAGUGAAUCUACACUCUAGAGUAUGUCUAUAUACAUCCGUAUGUAAUCCUCUAGUAGAAUCUCUAGAAAGACUUAUAUUUAGGAAUGGAGGGAGUAAUUCUUAGGUGACCAUGGAUUAUCAAAUUCGCAAGAAAAAUCUGGAAAAAUUCUAUUGAACGUUGGGCCAUGGUUCGAGUGAUAUUUUUGCCCGAUCGGUCAUGCUCCUAGUCUUGAUAUAUUUAACUUGAAUCACCAUUUUGGGUUGUUCACCCGAUACAAGAGAAGAACCCCUCUUGUAUGCGGCAUCAUUGCAAUUUUUUCACGUGUCCUCUUUUUCUUGUCGUAGUUAGCUCUCUCCUCUCCUCCCGCGCCAGCGACCAUUCCGGCCCCGGUGUCCACCUAAAUCUUCCGUCGUUUGUCUAACCGGCCCGGCACUCACUCCCUCUCGCCCCGGUCUCUCCGUCCCCCUUCUCUAUGAUGGUGUCUAGCUCGGCUAGCCCACCAUCGGUUUCGUCCGCUUUCCACCAUGAGAGCCAAGUUAUCUUAGGGCUCGGUCUCUCGGCAUUGUCGGGCUUGGCUCAAUCCUCGUCGGUGGGUGCCACAUAGGCAGAUCAAGAUACGCUUGCUAAAAGUACAUGUAGUCCCAUGUGUAGUUUGGGUAAUUAAUCAUAAUCCUAGUGGACUAGUGUUUCGAUUGAGUUAUACAUUUGAAGAAAGGUUCUAUUUGCGAUGCAUGAAGAAUAUUGGAUGAGAUAAAUGGUGUUUGUUCCAUGGUGAUGCAAGAAAGAGAUAGAAUGGAUUCGAAAUGAGUGUCAUAUACAUAUUGGUGUGUACGCAUCAUGGUUGAUCCCAAUGAUUGAAUCAAAUACGAUCAGAUGAAAUACAUGUAAUGAACAAGACAUGAUCUAUGUUGGGUCCAUUGAGGAUCUCACANNNNNNNNNNNNNNNNNNNNNNNNNNNNNNNNNNNNNNNNNNNNNNNNNNNNNNNNNNNNNNNNNNNNNNNNNNNNNNNNNNNNNNNNNNNNNNNNNNNNACGAAACUUCCGAGAUAUCUUCAACUCACCGGAUAGACAAGAGAUGAAUGAAUAACAGGAUAUGUUGAUAAGAAUCUCCAAUACCGGAAAGAAAUCAAGGAUGAAUAGGAUAUGAUGAACACAGAUAGCUGAAUUAAAUUCACUGGUAAGGAUGACAAGAAUGAACAAAUAUGACACGAAUCUCUUGAGAAUCUUCACAACGAAUCACCGGGUAAGAGAGAAAAGAACAGACAACUGAAGCACAAUGAAAAGAAAACUCUUGGAUGAAAAUUGAAUCACUAAGAAAAAGGNNNNNNNNNNNNNNNNNNNNNNNNNNNNNNNNNNNNNNNNNNNNNNNNNNNNNGGGGAAAACAAAGAGAAUUUGGGACAGAUGAGAUGAACUCCGGAAUAAAAUGAGAGAAUGAUCUUGCAAAAAUUGAAGAGGAUUGAAUCCACUUGGAGAGAACCACACCGGUUGGAAAAGAAUUAACAUGACGACUCCGGUUGACAAGAAUUAACAAGAGAAUUGAUUUGAGCAAAAGAAUUAGCAUUCACAUAAAAAUAUGAGAACACCACUAAAAAGAUCUGAAAUCACCACUUGACAUCGAAGCAACUUGAAUUACCAUAUUCAACAAAACAAAGGAUGAGGCUUAUGAAACAAGCCAGAACAAACUCAUGAGAAAGAUUUUGUCCGAUAUUUUCGUGGACACGAUCGCACGGGCUCGAUUUUAUAGUAGCCAUCAAGUGCAAGGCAGUGAACCCGACAUACGAAGCGUCCCCGAGUCGUAGCAAGCUACAAGGACUCUUUAUGACACAACGUGUACCGCUGUAAGUCGACCGUGAACAAACGAAUCCACUAGAUGUCGAAGCCCAACCUAACAUCAUGUAUUUGUUGGAAGAUUGUCCUAUAAGUAACUACAUGAAUUCCGACCUAUGAAUUCCCGAAAUAUCUGGUCAUGCAAUCUGGUACACGGAUACAAGGAGUAAUAACACACAACUCCUAUACUAACCCGUCACCUGUAUCACAUCCGUCAUAACACAACCAGAAUCUCGGAUCUUCAUCUACAACAGACCCUCGUGAUCACAACGAUACAAAGUAUGACAGUACUGCCGAACAAUCUGCACCAGUACAGGGGACAUCGGGGUUAUCUCGCCACUACUAGUAUUGAAGCAAUUACGAACAUCCUUCGUUCUUAGAUACUAAGAAAUCUGAAUGAUAACGAUGUGCUCAAGAAUCCCCUGGAGCUCAACUCCCCUGAAACUUAAAGCAGAUAGGAGGCACCAAGACAGAACUCCGUCACAUCGGCAUCAUAUAGAUUCCAAAAAUAUCCGCGUGAUCCUAAAUUUUUUUUGAGUGAGAAGAGGAGUAGAAUUAAAUUAUUACGUCAAGAUUCCUCACCAGAGCAUAGAAGAGGAGAAAAAGAAUCCUACUCUCCGAUAUAUAACUAGACUCAAAGCAGUUUUUUACUAGACUCGACUCGGCCAAGUUCGGUCAAUCAAGGAGGGCUCCUAUGUCAGUACUGCUCUGAUACCAACUUGUCAUGUCCAAGAUGCGACCAUAUCCUCAAUUUGGCACGAAGGUCUCGUCAGGGAUAGAAGCGCAUCUCGUCGUGUCGCAAGAAUGGAUAUCGUUACAAGUACAUGUACUGAAAAGAUGAGAUAUAUAUAGAAUUGGUUUACACUCGCCACAAGCUACAUCAAAGUCACAUCAGUACAUUACAUAAACAUCAAUAGUAAGAGCAGGGUCCGACUACGGACGAAAACAAACGAGAAAAUAAGAACGAGGUCCAUCCUUGCUAUCCCAGGCUGCCGGCCUGGAACCCAUCCUAGAUCGAUGAAGAAGAAGAAGAAGAAGCAACUCCAAAUGAACAACCAACGCGCUCGCGUCAAGUAACCUUUACCUGUACCUGCAACUGGUGUUGUAGUAAUCUGUGAGCCACAGGGGACUCAGCAAUCUCAUUUCCAAAGGUAUCAAGACUAGCAAAGCUUAAUGGGUGAGGUAUGGUUAAGUGGUGAGGUUGCAGCAGCGGCUAAGCAUAUGUUUGGUGGCUAAACUCACGAGUACAAGAAAUAAGAGGGGGAAGAUCUACGCAUAACGGACGUGAACUACUGAUGAUCAAAUGAAUGAUCCUGAACACCUACCUACGUCCGACAUAACCCCACCAUGUCCUCGAUCGGAGAAGGAACUCACGAAAGAGACAGUCACGGUUACGCACACAGUUGGCAAGUUUUAUUUAAGUUAACUUCAAGUUAUCUAAAACCAGUGUUAAACAAAGCUUUCCACGUUGCCACAUAACCGCAGACAUGGCUUUCCGAAAAGAUUUAACCCUGCAGGGGUGCUCCAACUAGUCCAUCACAAAUUACCACAAGCCGCAUAGAAAUCCUCAAUCACGAAGCUCGCGAUCUCGUCGGAUUCCCUAGUGGAAAACCUCAACUCUGAGGUUACCCAAAGCAUCACCGGAAUCCCGAUGCACAAGAUAUCUCGUCAAAGGUAAAACUAAUCCAGCAAGGCCGCCCGACGUGUUGACGAUCCCGAUAGGAGCCGCGUAAGCGUGUCGACGAUCCCGAUAGGAGCCGCGUAUCUCGUUCUUGCGACACGGCGAGAUGCGCUUCUAUCCCUGACGAGGCCUUCGUGCCAAAUUGAGGAUAGGGUCGUAUCUUGGGCGUGACAAAACCCAUGGUUAUGUUUUGGGUUUAGAUUGGUUCGGGUGGAAAAAAUAAUGGGUUUGAUUUUGGUUGGGCUAAAAAUGACACUAAAUGGAUAUGAUUUAAGUAUGAUUUUGAGAGAUAAAUGAAUGGGUAUGGUUAAGUAUGGUUCAAGUAUAAAAUCAUUCUCAGAUUUACUCUUACAUGUUCAGCCCUACGGAACCCACGGAUGACUGAUAUAAGCGAGUGUAGUGGUUGGAAGGGAUCUCCAUCCCGGCUAGGAUCAAACAUAGGCGGCGGCAUACGUGUGUCUCUCUGUAUCAGGUUGCACUCGUGAUUCCCUUCAUUCCAUCCCUCGAGUUGUACCCAUAUCGAAACUGUAAUCACCAUGGAUUAAGAGUGGAAGACUAAUGAGUGCCUCACAGUUUUUUUCUUGCCUCUACUGUCAGGUAACUGGCCGGUCGCGUCCGCGAACAUUAUGAAAAGGAUUUAAAAAAUCUGGCCGUCGACACUAAGGGAAUGGGAGAGAUGGAAAGAGAUCAUGUGUGUCGAUGACAUUGCUUGGUCGAUUUUCUUGUUUGGACCAAGUCCCAACGGGAUGAACGUAGGGCAGCAGCUUCACACCUGAAUCUCCCCCAUCCCGGCUCCUUCCGGUGUGCUGGCCAUGGAGAGCCACGAUGGGCCUGCAGCUGCGUCCGCCCACAACAUUAUGCUGGCCGGCGGCUGCUGCUGCAGGUGACGCACGGUGAGAUGUGGCACGAACGGUGAUCUUCUUGAGAAACGCGUCGCUCCCGUGUUGCCCGAUGGUGCCGUUUUGUUUAAAUAUCCAUACUUAUAUGGUCUUAAUUAUUUGUAUGUGUAAUUAAUUUAUGUCUAAUUAUUUUUAUUAAUAACUUGAUUUUCAAAUUGAUUUGGUUGUUUGUUUCCAAAAUAUAUUUCGGUUAAUGAUUGAGUACCGACGAAACGACGCACAGACUUCUACUUUAGGAGUAGAGACUAGUACUACUUAAUUUGUACUAACAUUUUAGUUAAAGCACAUCUAGAUGUGUCAUAAGUAUUGCAUAUUAAUUCUUACUAGUAAAUGUGUCCGUGCAUUGCAACGGGAUAAAAAUAUCACAAUUUUAAAGUUAGUGGCUCACACAUCCAAUCUCUAGAUCAAUGCUUAGCAUGAAUUUCUCUAAUCCAUAUAUCUAGUUUCCAGCUAAUACUGCAGGCAACAGUGCUUGAUUCAAAGCCGUGAUUCAUUUUCCGUAAUGAAACAAAAAAUAAGUGACGCUCUCAUAUUCCGAUUGUGCAAAGGGGCAAUCAACAUGGAGUUUAGCACUCAAAAAUCAAUCAAAUAGUGAAUGAUAUAAUAUUCUUAACAAUUAAGUUUUCGUUUCUCGUCUUGACUUAAAUCACCUACACAUCUGGAAAAGCUAAUUAUAGGCUGCAUCAGCUAGUGAUUUUUUUUAUGAUAACAUAACAUAACAUAGUUGGAGAAAUAGACAAUUUUCAAUCUCUGAAAUCUAGCCACCCAAAUAUAACCAGUUGAUCUUGUUUAUGGACUCAACAACAAGUAGUUGUAACUUAAUUUUUUAAACUGGGUUACUACAGUUAAAGUUCACUCAGUCUCAAUGAAGUCAGCCAAACAGUAUUGUGUGUGUAAAAUUAAGGCAUACAUCAUUAUGAUAAAUGUUUUUCUAUUUCUCUUGUAAAAAUUAAGCAUUAGUGUAUGUGUUAAGAAAAUAUUUACUUGUAGCUGUAAAAGGUUUGGUGCUAUAAUGUUCAACAAACCUACCAAAAUUUAUCGUUUUCUUCUUAUUUUUAUAUUUCAAUUCGUAUAUUAACUCCAUGACAUAUAAAUUUCCGUGCGAAAGGAAGCAUACCAAGAACCACAUCACCUGCACCCAAGUGAAUCCCUUAUGAAACAAUAACAUACAUGAUGCCGGCUGCUCCGGAAUAAGGAGAGAAGUUUAUCAUCUAUGAAUAGAAGUUCAUUAUUGGUAUAAGAGACUCAACGUGUCUAUCUAGAAAGUACCUCAUGUAGGAUGUUGUUCAAAUAAAUAAUUAAACAUAAAAAAUAAGAAGAGAAAGCAUUGAAAAAGGUGGUAUUUGAGUAAUUACUACCAGACAGAAAACUCAUACCGUCCAUGAAUUAUCAAUAAUUCUUAUUGUACGUGAUUCAUGCAUGAACAAAAAUCCCCUACAUAGAACUAUAGUAAUAAAAAAUUGUAGAAACCGAGUUCAUGUACUCACAGAGAUCCAAAGUCCACAAGAUGAUAAUAAGGUUAACACCAAUGCACUGAAAAUAGUAGCAAAGGUAGACUCAAAGAGUUCUUAGCACGUCCAUUUCUCAAGCCUAAAUAUUAAGGAAUAUGCGACUGAGUACAUGGACUUGUUUACCACUGUUCACGUCAGGUGACACCGCCGUCCUCUUCCCCACAUUGUUGAUUGCUAGAUGUCCCAUCUCCUUGUUUUUUUCUCUUGCAGGUCAAUCCUCUUGUUUUUUUCUCUCUAGUUCAUACAAUUUUGCAUGAAGAAAUUGGUUCUGCCCUUCGUAGUAGACUGCCUUGCUUCAUGGCUUACUGCAGGCGUCCUCCUCUGUGGACUGUCGGAUGAACUAAAACUUCUAUGCGGUGAACACUUCUCCACAAAAGCUGCAUAUGCAACCAUAUAGCAAGGAAUUGACGAUCCCACUCCCUCUCUGGUUUGGUCCUCAAGGGUGCCCAACAAUGUUUUUUAUGGUACUGCAUAACGGAAGACUAAACACAUGUCAAAAUUUACACCAGAAGACCAUACCUGAUUUAGACAGCUGCCCCAUGUGUCUCCAAGCCACGGUAACUUGCUCUCAUCUAUUCAUUCAGUGUCCUGCAGCAAAAGUUGUUUGGUGUGCUACUGGAAUACUCCAAACUGCCAGGAAAUCAUCAGCUGGAAGUGUUUCAUGACUUUGCUCAUCCUUUGGAAUAUUUGGGAUCCUUGAAACACUGAAGUUUUCAGACAAUACCUGAAGCACAGCACUAUGGCACGGCAAGUUGUUUUCAGACAAUAAAUGAAAUAGGCCAAGCACUCCCUCUUCAUCAUCAUGUAGCUCAUGGAGCUUGGGGCGGCGAUGAUGCACAACAAUAUGGCAUGACCAGGAGGAAGGGGAUCCGGUGGGGGGCACGCUGGGGCGUUGUGUACGGCGACAGUCUGGGGCAGUGGCGAGCAACACCCAAUGCUGGCGGCGACACGAAUGAACACUUGUCGGCCGGAGAACCGUUGAGCUCGGAGCACAGACGGACGGUGACGUCAACCGAGGAGACUCGGCCAUUGGGAGCGUUCUGGCGGUGGCUGCGGCGCAUCUCGUGACUCUAGAGAGGGGUGGUGGAUUGAGAGCGAGGCGUCCCCAGUAGCUAGCUCAACCAACGUCGAACCUUGUCAUUGCUUGUCGAUGCCUCAAACACCUGCAACAUGUAGCAGUAAAAGUAGAGAAGGAAGCACAACAGCAGCUGCUCCGAUGCAAGUGUUGGUUGCGUCAAUGUAAGGAGGGUGAGAUGCAACAAAGCACAUAUCAAUUAUCACAUAGAUCGUACCAAAAAAUUGAGCAUAAACAGUAGCAAGUUGAUGAGCACUGGAGGUACAUGGACCUCAAACGGUACCAACAACGUUUUCAUCUUUCAGUAGCAGCUCCUUAAAUUCAAGAUUGAACAAUUGAACUAAAAACAUCAGUUCAGUCAGGCAUCAAUUAAACUAAAAAAUUCAGGAUUAACCUUUCUGUUAAUUCAAGGAACAAUCAACACUUAAUAGUAUAUAAAAAAUUUUAACCUCAAACAAUAUUCAAUUGAGCCCAAACAGUUAUAAAUCCUAACCCAGAGCAAUGCCUUAAUGGCCACGAACAAGAGCAGAAAGAGGAUGGGGUCAACUCACGUGAAGAUAGAAAGGAGGAAGGUCCAUGGGUAGUGCGUCCCGAGCCGCAGCAAGGCAAGGUCGGCCCUCCUUCCUCAAGCAUCCAAUCUUUGCCCCGCUCCAUUCCCGGUGCCGGCCCUUGCGAGCCCUCCCCUCGUCCUCUUGCAUAGACCCGAUCCGCCAUGGACAGCCACUGCGUCCGCGUCGACGGCGGACGAGCACGCGCAUACAGCCCUGCCUCCACACCUCCCCUCCUGCUCCUCCUCGCUCCCGGGCAGCGAGCCCCACCCUUCAUGUGCUCGCCGCCGCCACCGUCGUCCUGCUGCGCGGCCGCUCGAUCUGCACGCCUCUAGAAUCGUUUUUUAAUUCAUAUGGACCGCGGGUUGGUUCCCAUAAACGACAGGGGCUUUUUUGCAAAACAUACGCGGCGGGUUUUCCGACAGAAGCGAUAGCCGCUUUAUUAUUAUGUAAAGAUGUCAUGGAUCUUACACAGAGAUUUGAAUGAAUAUUUCCUUUUACUUUUACUUUUGCUUUCCAUGCUAGAUUGUGUCAUCCGUAUAUGCAAUAACUAUGUCACAUGUAGAUAUCAAUUAGAGAGACAUUUCUAUCAAACCAGACUUAUUUUUUAGGACGAAGGGAGUAGGUAUUACCGUAUAAUGAUGCGAGCGUGCAUUUUUUUUAAAUGAGAGGGGUCUCCCUUUAGCCCCAGUUUUAUUAAAGCCAAAGCAAAGCAUACCAACCAAAAGUAUAGGUCCUCGGCGGAUAGCCUGAGUGGCUACCGCAGAAAUAAACGGUAGUUUUAAGCCAUAUUACAAAGCAAUUGACAUGGCAAAAGAGAUGAAACAUAAAGAUGUGCAACAUUAGCACCAAAAAUGUUCCUCCACUCUGCCAGCCUCGACGCGGUGACCAUGCGAUCCUAAACAACUCCCCUCUUUGAUGGUCGAGAAGCCUUAAACAGUGGAAAAAAAAGCGCACCCUGGACGUGCGAGCAUGCAUCGGUUAUUGCUUUUUUCUGCAUUAAUUAUUAACCGAGCCAUUAUCCAUUUAUCCUUAGAGCAUCUCUAGCAGACUCCGUAAAAUGUCCCCACCCGUAAAAUAAUCAUCAAAAUACAGGUCCGCGCGAAAACAGUUGCCCGAUCAGACCCUGCAAACGCGUCGGACCCGUAAAUAUUUUUGCGCGGCACGGUAAAAAGCUCCUUCCGAUCUGCAAAAACAGUUUUCGCGUCUAUUUCUACGCUGCCUUGUAUCGAAAGAAAGCAGUUGGCGGGAGCCCAACUGCCACGGAAACUUCCCCGUCCGCUAUCCACGUCCACCGUAUGCCGCCCCGGACGUCGCCCCAGACGUCCCCGAACACCGGUCGCCCGUCCCCUGACGCCGACCCGCCCGUCCUCGCGGCCGCCCUGCUCGUCUUAGCCGGAUUCGGCGUCGGCGACGGAAGCUAGCUAGCUAGCUUCCGGCUUCUGGAUGGACUCGUAGACAUCGGAGCUAGCUAGCUAGCUUCUGGAUGGAUUCAUGGAGGGAGGAGCUUGCUAGCUAGCUAGCUUCUGGAUGGAUUCAUGGAUGGAGCUAGCUCCUGGAUGGAUUCAGGUAUCGACAGCUCCGUAUUUGGGAACAAAUUUAGUUGACCAUGGACACGGACGAGAGAAAGAGAAAGAUGUGGAAGCAAAAUAUAAGCGAAAAAUCGAUUUACAAUUUAAGUUUAAGGGGUAUGUUUCGCCGCAGCUCGAGCCGAUCCGUAAAAAAAGCAUCUUAUGCGAAUAUCUUUUUUACAGGUUCAUUUUAUGAGGUCUGACUCUGACCUCGUCCACGCUAGUCCGUAAAAUUGCUUUUCCGUGAGGUGUGAACGUGUUUUACGGUCGGCGUUAUACGACGUGUGCUAGAGAUGCUCUUAGUCCUGUGGAGUUGGUAAUACUAGGAGAAAAAUAGAAAAAUAUAUUUGUUCACAAUUACAAGGAGCCUGCCAUCUUGUCACUGCACUGUUGGUGCACGUGGCAACGGCCCAAGUUUAGUUUAUUUUGUUUGCGUCAGCUGAUCGGCAAGUGCAGCUAGAGGACAGUCCAGGUUUAGGUAGCCCUCCCUAUCUUUCACCCCUUUAAUCAAUCUGGGAAUGUCAUCAUGAGAGGAAGGGAAGGAGGCCCAGCGACGGACGUAUUUUUUUUCCCGCAGAGGAAAGAAGCCGUAGCAUAUCAGACACUGACAGUGAGGUGAGGUCGCGAGUCCGGCCCAGGUACCGACCGACGGAACGGCGCGCACACUGAUGACUCCCUCUUCAGUUCCUUCGUUGCAUGUGCCAUGGCACCGUGCCCGCCCACAAGAACACUGCCUUGUCUGCCCAGGUCCGAUAGCAGCAACGGUGAGUGGGUGGCCCUGGCCCACCCGACAGAAAUCUGCGUGUCCGAUCCCAACCACUCACCCGUCAGCCUGUCGCAGUACUCAGGAAAAAAAAAUCCUGAAGUACUGUAUAUAAUAAUACAGUACUACCCUACCAAAAAGAAAUGGAAAAACAUCCUAGCAAUAUAGAAAUGCACAGUACGUACGACGGAAGGCGAUGCCGCUCAGGCCUUCCGGAGCUCCAAUGAUUGGGCCGAGACACGGCUGCGAUGCAUGCCAUUCCCGGCGAGAGAGGCGGGCAUGGGCGCGAGCGCCGGCCCGCUGGACGUGGGUGCAGCCGUGCAUGGGACCGAUCGGAUGGAUGGUCGACAACCGUUGGCCGGUGACCUCGACGGACGCAGGCAGGCAGAAUUCCCCACCGUUGGCAGCGGCAACGCUUGCUCGUUUUCCCUUUUGUUUCCUCACCUUGAGAGCCGGGGCUAUCCACACGGUGAAAGGCGACCAAGAUGGUGGUGAAAGGCGACCAAGAUGGUGGUGUUGUUUUUCUUAUCUUAGUGAUGAUAAUGAUGGUAACUUUGACUCUGCAGCAGGUUAGCUAAUCUGAUUAGUUAGCCACCCACGUAUAUACACGUACACGUACGUACGCCGAGUUACUUGGUGUCUUGUCCUGGCGACUAAUCUGGCCCACAUGCAUCAACACCAUCAUCAUUAUUACUACUAGAAAAGAAACAGGGUGACCCGGGCGCACAGGCCCGCUCUGUGGGGGUCGUCAUUAGGCCCCAAAUCAGGUUGGUCAGAUGCCGCAUUACGGCGACAUCUUCCCGUCGUUUUCCCGACGUGGCGAGGGACGAGUGGGCGGGGAGGGAAGGCCGCUGCGGCACGCAUGGUGCGCGUGGGACUGUGCGGGGUGGGGGAGAAGCAAACGAUUCUUGUUUUGUUUGAGAUGAAUUCACAAGGGAACAAAUGCGAGCAGGACGAACGCCCCGGGGAAAGCAAAAGGCUGGGGACACGAGUACAGGACAGCACACUUGCAAUGCCCCUUCGUCCCCGCCUCAGUUUUUGUUUUCCUGGCCGUAAUUUCCUUAUAUACAACCAAAGAUAGGUAGUACGCCCUUCAUAAACUAAUAUAAAAACUGUUUAAAUCAUUAAAAUAGUGAUCCAAACGCUUUUAUGUUAGUUUACGGAGAGAGUACUAUCUCAUCAUGAACAACUCAUCUCCAACCAAGCCCGUCGUGAUUAGUCUAAAGUAUCUUCAAAAUUGACCGUAAUCACGGUUAAUAUCCACACGCAUUCUUUUUUAAAAGUUAGCAUGAGAGUUGCUAAGAUUUCAUUGGAGAAGAAGAAGCCCGAUGGCUGAAACUGCUCGGUUUAUUAAAGGAAAACCGGGCGAAAACAUGUACAAAGGACAUACCACACCUAGCCAAGGGCCAGUUCUUUUGCUGGCUUUUAGAAUAAGCUCAAAUAAGCUGCCCCCUACCCAGCUUAUUCUAAAAGUCUAACCAAAUUUAUUCUUUUAAAAGCCUAUUAAUUAAGACUUAAGUAGUAGGCUUUUAAAAAAAAAUUGUAGUCGGGCUUCUAGAAUAAGUUGGGUAGGGGGUUGCUUAUUCUAGAAGCCCAAAAAAGCUACCAAAAGAACUGGCCCUAAACUAGGUAUAAAGCACUACAUGGCAUACAAAAGCGACAACAAAACCAAACAAACAGCAGGAACAUCAGCGAUACAAGCGACGUCACCGUACAUCACCAACCGCGCUCACGGCCGUGACGACUUCAACUUCGCUGCAACAUCACACAAAUGCACCAAGUUAUCACAUCGAUCAUGGCGGACACAAGCAUGUUGAACAGCUUCGUCGACACCGAAGAGAGAAGACAUAUCCAUAGAGGAGCAGACAUGUGCUGCCCCGGUAGCAAGAGUACGCCAACAUGACUUGCUUGAGGCUGAUUGCAUACGAAGAGUGCUCCAAUGCCCAUACACUACCCGUCAACAGCCCGACGCCAACGGACGCGCCACCAUGACCCAACACCAUCCUGUCACCGUCAACUCCGGGCAGGGCACUGUACCACACACCGCCCGCCAACAGCCAUCCACAUGCAUUCUAACCCCUUAUUUUUGCACAUUUUGCUCUCGCGCAAACAGAAAGCAUCAGACUUUCUUUUUCCGAAAAGGAUUCAGACCUAUGACGAAUGUUUGCGGGAAGUACAAGUCUUAAACACCCUUAAACAUAGUGAAAAUCACAUCUUCUUCUCUUGCGUCACUGCUUAAUUCCUGUGGAGUUGCUUUCGCGAAACAGUCGGCGGCCAUGGUGCCAUACCAAUGUACCCGACUUGUUCGCAGAGACUCAGUCCGCCCCCUCGUCGGCCCGCCACAUUAGGUGGCUCACCAUCGGGGUCCUCACGUGGACACUCUGAACUAUUCGCAACAAGCUUGUGAUCCAGCGUGUCCGCCUUCGACGUGCCACUGACGCAAUGUUUAAAAUGUGUAGUUUCCUACAGCUCUAGCGACCGCUUAGCCGCCCUUCCAACCGAUAUACCAUCACCAACAUCAUCGCCAACCUUCGUCUGAUGGCUCUCCUCAUGGCGCCCCCACUUCCACCACCAGAUUAGCCUGCUAUGGUUUUCACAUCACAUUCCCACGGUGUUGGGUGUGGGUGUGCGUGUUUAUGUUUCUUAGGGCUUGUUGAGCUGUGCCCUCAACAGAACCCUUUGUUGGUGUCUUGUGCUACUUAUGUGCGUUUGUGCGUAUGUGUGUGUUGAAGUUGGGUGUGUUGAACCUAUGUUGUUUGUAUUGGUGUGGCGGUUUGCUUUAUUUAUAAAGCGGGGCGAAAUCCUUUUUCGGUAACAUAGUGAAAAUUAAAUCAAGAUUCUAAGACUCCCGAACAACCAUUACCACCGUCAAAACAAGUCACCGAUGGUCUUGUCGAUGAUGGCCGGAAAGACUUCAUGCAUGUUCGCAAGAGGACCAACACCUAGAGCAGUAAUCGUCAUACUUGAACACUUGAAUAAAUAGAAGCACCUAACAUCAAAUCUUGGCACACAAUAAAAAAGUAAACCUCACUAUCCCAAGGAGACGAGUUAACUGCAUGGAAGACGUUGUAACGAAUUGGUACCACUAGUCAUUUUUUUGCAUGUCACUACCAAAUCUAAGGCUAAGUGUUGCGAAACGGGCUGACGGUCAUAUAAACAGGUAUUGACCAUGUAUCUCACUGUUGGGGCCCGCCUGUCAGGUGACAUGCUAGCGUACCCGCCCCGACUGUCGUGUUGAGUCGGACGAGCCCGCUCGGACGCUCGUUCUAACGGGCUGGGUCGAACCGGGUCGAAACCCUAGCAUCGUUUCCCCCUGCUCCUCUUUUCUCUAGCUCUCUCGACAUGAUGGCGGUGACGGUGGUUGUAGCAACGAUGGAGUUGUGGGCGGGUACGGAGACCUUCCCGGACUCGGGAGCGAGGACUACAUUGGCCUGGAUGGCUCCAGUUCGUCAUCCUAUUCCAGCUACGAGGAGGAGGAGGAGGAGGCACCCCUGUCCAUGGAGCAGAGGAUGCGGCUCGCCGAGAUUUCGGUGGCCAACCCUACUGCAAGCCAUCACUAGACCACUGGAGCUGGUUGGAUACUGUAAGUCCUUCUCCUGUCUUAUUUCUGCCUGGUAGAAUUUCAGGUUUAGGUUAGGUUUACUGAAAAUGUUAAAUUUGAAUGUCAUUUUUGUAGUUUGGAUGAUGUUGUUUGGGAUGUAAGGAUGCACUUUGAUGCUCACCAUAAUUUGGAUAGGAAGAUUUACAGCUCAGAUUGCACAUUUCUGAAUCUCUAUGCAGUGAUGCAAACACAAGGAUUUUCUUUCUCUCAUGAACUGUACCAUAUGAAGGAUUUAGGCAUAGGAGAGGAAAGAGAGCAUGUAUUAGAUUUGAUUGACACAAACAUCAAACUGCAACAAUUAAAAAAGUACUAUGAGCAUAAUUUAGUUCUGAAUUUCCUAGUGAGGGCAGCAGCACCUUUCAGUAAUGAUUGUUAGAGAGCAGAUAACUUAGCAACACUAGUGUGUGAACCACUUGUUGUGUAUGAUUUCAGUAAGCCGGUUGUACUUGGUGUUGAUGAAGAAGGUGUUGUUUUUCAUAGUGGGGCGGCUCGCUCGGUCCACCCGGCCCGACCAAGUCCUUUAGAACGAGCGACCGAGGAGCUCGUCGGACUCAGCACGACGGGCGGGGCGGGUACGCUAGCGUGUCACCCGACAGGCGGGCCCCAACGGCUAGAUACGUGGUCAAUACCUGUUUAUACGAUUGUUAGCCCGUUUCGCAACACUUAGCCUUAGAGUAAGUACUGACAUGCAAAACAAAUGACUAGUGGUACCAAUUCGUUGCAACAUCCUGAAGUGUGGUACUUCCAUGGAAUUAACUCCAAGGAUAGCUUAUGAAUCUAUGCAAGAUAUCCGUUGACUACAUUCAGACAGACAAACUCGAGGAGGAUUGAAGCCUCAAAGACAAACUUGAAGAACUAGCAUCUGUUGGAAAUAUGCCCUAGAGGCAAUAAUAAAAUAGUUAUUAUUAUAUUUCUUUGUUCGUGAUAAUCGUUUAUUAUCCAUGCUAUAAUUGUAUUAAAUGAAAACAUAGAUACAUGUGUGGAUACAUAGACAAAACAAUGUCCCUAGCAAGCCUCUAGUUAGCUAGCUAGUUGAUCAAUGAUAGUCAAGGUUUUUUGACUAUAUGCAAGUGUUGUCACUUGAUAACUGGAUCACAUCAUUAGGAGAAUCAUGUGAUGGACUAGACCCAAACUAUGAACGUAGCAUAUUGAUCGUGUUGUUUUAUUGCUAUUGUUUUCUGCGUGUCAAGUAUUUAUUCCUACGACCAUGAUGAAAGGAUCGAUAUGGUUGACUAGAGGGGGGGGUGAAUAGACAACGACCACUUUUUAAUUAAUCUUAGCAAGUUAAGGUAAACAACAUAUGGGUUCACAAAUAUUACGACAAUGAGGUGAACCCUAAUGAAUCUAACAACGAGAGUACUAAGACAAGUAAGAUAUAGUCCGCAACAUAAUCAUACACAAAGUAAAGGAUAGAGAUAACCACAAGUGGAACCGAUGGAGACGAGGAUGUGUUACCGAAGUUCCUUCCCUUUGACAGGAAGUACGUCUCCGUUGGAGCGGUGUGGAGGCACAAUGCUCCCCAAUAAGCCACUAAGGCCACCGUAUUCUCCUCACGCCCUCGCACGAUGCAAGGUACCGUGAUUCCACUAUAGGUGCCCUUGAAGGUGGCGACCGAACCUUUACAAACAAGGUUGGGGCAAACUCCACACGAAGCUUGGAGGCUCCCAACAAGACCACGAAGCUUCACCACAAUGGAAUAUGGCUUCGAGGUGACCUCAACCGUCUAGGAUGCUCAAACACCCAAGAGUAACAAGAUCCGCAAGGGAUUGGUGGGGGAAUCAACUUUUCUCUUGGUGGAAGUGUGGAUCUAGGCCUUCUCAACCAAUCCCUAAAGAACCAACAAGUUUGAUUGGCUAGGGAGAGAGAUCGGGCACUUUUGAGCUUAGGGAGCAACAAUGGUGCUUGGGGAGGUAAGAGAUAAGGUUCCACAGCUAGAAGAACCCUUUAUAUAGUGGGGGGGGGGAAAUCCAACCGUUUUCCCACUCUCUGCCCGAGCUCCAGCGGUACUACCGCUGGCUACAGCGGUACUACCGCUGGCACUCCAGCGGUACUGCCGCUGACUAGCGGUACUACCGCUGACCAGGGGCGGUACUACCGCCAGCCAGCGGUACUACCGCUGGGGACCAUUUUGGAAGGAGGAAAGAAACACAGUGGCGGGGGCCGCUCCAAAGAUGAAGGUAAGGGAAAAUAUGUGACGUGUGCGCGUGCAAAGAUAGAUUCCACCCAAACCUUUCCACUACGGUUCCCCUCUUAAUAGUACGGCUUUCCUAUGACUCAAAUAAAGAGAAUCGGAGUCACUAGCACCGGAGGAAUACUUUGUGUGCAUCAAACGUCGCAACGUAAAUCGGUGACUAUAAAGGUGCUCUACAGGAAUCUCCAAAGGUGUCCGUUGAGUUAGUAUGGAUCAAGACUCGGAUUUGUCACUCCGUGUGACAGAGAGGUAUCUCGGGGCCCACUCGUUAAUACAAUAUCACUCGUAAAUCGGUGACAGUAUGGAUCAAGACUGGGAUUUGUCACUCCGUGUGACAAGAGCUCCGUGAACAUCACAUCAGAAAUAUCAAGAGGGGCAGACUCCUUAGUCAUAGCCUCCUCACAGAGAAGCAGCAUCUCAGCCAAAGAGCCAUGAACCUCGUCGAAGUUACCAAUGCGAGGGAAGAGGGUGUUGCGGAAGAUCCGAUGCAUGAUGUCCAAAUGCUUGGGGAGCACACCCUUCCUCACAUAGAGUUGCUGCAGUCUGUCCUUGGCUGGGGGGUAUCAGUGGGGGCUGCAGCAUGAGGACGCGACCCAAGUGGAGUGUCAGCUCCCUGGCACUCAACCUUGAGGAAUGCCAUGAAUUCAUGCCAGGUACCUGUCAUCUUCUGAGUCCCAGUCAUCCAUACCAUAGAGCGCUCUUCAUCAGGAGAGAAGUGGACCGUGACAUAGAACUGGGCAACAACAGUGGGGUCAAAAUCUGUCUUGAAAGUGAUGAUGUCCUUGAUGCCCAGUUUGUCAAUCAGAGAGAGGGCAUCACCAAAAUAGUCCAGGUUCCGCUGAAGAUGAGCAAGGUCAAUCCACUGAACGGGGACAUAGUUCUUCUUGAAAUGCAUGACAAUAUCACGGUAGAUCCUGCAGUGAUCCUUUGCCCAAACAUGGUCAACAUUCUUGAUCACAGCCUCUCUUUAAGAUAAUGGUUCUGAGUGCGGAACGGCAGAAAGUCCUUGGGGGGCAUUGUGCGGACAUUGAUCCCCUUGUCCUUGUUCGCGGUCUUCUUGAAGGACUGCUUUUUGGGUUGCAGACCUGAAGUGGCAGAACCCUCUGGAGCCUCUGGGUUGCGAUACUGCUUUGACUGCGUGUCCCGUGGGGGGUUCGAACGGUGAGAACUACCUCUGACACAAAACACACAUAAAAAAGAAGCGACAAAAAGAGUCAAGGCAAUGAACUAGAAAAGGCAGAAAAAUAAACACUCAUUGCCAAGCACAUGAAAAGAAUGCAGAGUGAAUCCUCCUGGCGGUAGUACCGCUACCCCUGGCGGUAGUACCGCUGGGGUCCUAGCGGUAGUACCGCUACCCCUGGCGGUAGUACCGCUGGGGUCCUAGCGGUAGUACCGCUACCCCUGGCGGUAGUACCGCUGGGGUUUGACUUUCAGAUCUGACAGAUAAAAUAGACAUCAUGGAUAGGGCUACACGAUUUUGACGAGGGGCAUGGGUUGUAUAUGAACACUAAGAAUUCCACCACAACCCUACACACAUGAGACUCACAAGUACCACCGAAAUAAGUGCAUGCCUAGGCAAGUGAGAGCAAAUUUUAGAUCUAAUCCAAAUAGUUCAAGUACUUGAUCUAAAACAUGUAAAUCCUAGGGCAUGGCAAAAAUAAACCGCAAAGAUUCAUAGGACCUAUACUCCCCUCAAAUAUCUCCUUCAUGCCAUCCAAGAACAGGACACAAGAUCAAAGACAUGAAUCCAAACCACCAAUGCUCCUAACCCUAGAACAAGAACAUCAACCAAUAGAAGAAGGGGAGGAGCGUUACCGGGAUUCAUGGAGGAAGGAGACGUGGAGCAACCCUUCCAAUCCAACGGAGAGAAGGAGCUCCACAAAUAGAGAUCGAAACACGGGGAAUUCGGGCUAGGGGAGGGAGGAGCCGCGAGGAAGAAGAAAGAGCCUGAGAAAAACGGGCUCCCCCUCCUUUAUAUAGCCCAAGGGGUACGGGCCAGCGGUAGUACCGCUGUGGACCUGGCGGUAGUGCCGCUACCUGGCGGUAGUAACGCUGGAUGCAGCGGUAGUACCGCUGGGGUCCUGGCGGUAGUACCACUCCCCCUGGCGGUAGUACCGCUCCCCCUUGAGACAACCCUAAAAAAUUUCCUAGCAGGUCGUGUUAGAUGGGAAUACUGGCGGAAGUACCGCUAUCCCUAGCGGUAGUACCGCUGGGGUCCUGGCGGUAGUACCGCUACCCCUGGCGGUAGUACCGCUGGGGUCCUGGCGGUAGUACCGCUACCCCUGGCGGUAGUACCGCUGGGGUCCUGGCGGUAGUACCGCUGCAAAUGACACAACGCGUCCUAGGAUAAGAGAAGAACUUGGGCAAAUGACAAGUAAGUAAAAGAAAUAGCACCAAAAAUAUGUACUGACUUGUCAUUGUAUAUCCUUUUCUUCUAUACGAAGGAAAGGUGGGGAGGGGCGGUGGCCGAGGCCACCUAUGUUUGAGACAAUGGUAUGACACCGCGAAGAAUUAUCCUUGGGUUCAUGACCAAUGCUCGUCUUUGAAGCACAAGUGUCAUUUGACAAUGGCUAAAGUGAAAGACUAGAUUGAUUUAUGCAUAAUGGGGGGAGGGAAAGUUCAUUGAGAGAACAACACUCCCCCUAUGUCCAUGCCUACAUCUAGACCAAGAUGGAAUGCAAAGUGAGGUGCAACAUGCCUAGUUUCAAUCCACAUUACUUGAAUCAAUGAUAUUUAGCUCAUGCCUUAACUCCCGGAACCUUGCUUCAUCUAGAGGCUUAGUGAAAAUAUCUGCAAGUUGCUCUUCAGUGUGGAUGAAGUGAACCUCAAUAUCACCUAGCUUGAUAUGUUCACGAAUGAAAUGAUGGCGAAUAUCAAUAUGUUUGGUUUUGCUAUGUUGCACUGGGUUGAGGGAAAUCUUGAUAGCACUUUGAUUGUCACAUAGAAGAGGCACUUUGUCACAAGUGACACCAUAAUCCUUUAAAGUUUGCCUCAUCCAUAGCAAUUGUGCACAACAACUUGCAGCUGCCACAUACUCAGCUUCGGUGGAUGAUAAGGAGACGCAAUUCUGCUUCUUUCACGACCAACUUACCAAUGAGCGACCAAGGAAUUGGCAUCCUCCAGACGUUGACUUCCUCUCCACACAAUCUCCUGCCCAAUCUGAGUGAGAAUAGCCAACUAGAUUGAAGUUUGCUCCUUUGGGAUACCAAAGGCCAAAGUUUGGGGUAUGAGCCAAAUAUCGAAAGAUUCGCUUAACAACCAUGUAAUGACUUUCUUUUGGUGCGGAUUGAAACCGUGCACAUAUCCCUACACUCAACAUAAUAUCCGGUCUGGAUGCACAAAGGUAAAGGAGGGAUCCAAUCAUGGAGCGAUAUACCUUUUGAUUCACUGCUUUACCAUUGGGAUCACUGUCAAGCUUGCAUCUUGUUGGCAUGGGAAACUUGACCGGUUUGACAUCUUUGAGCUCGAACCGUUUGAGCAUGUCUUGAGUGUACUUGGCUUGUUUGAUGAAUGUCCCUUCUAGACCUUGUUUAAUCUCGAACCCGAGGAAGAACUUCAACUCUCGCAUCAUGGACAUCUCAAACUUCUCAGUCAUUAGUGCAGCAAAUUCUUCAUUGAAGGAAAUGUUAGGAGAGCCAAAGAUAAUAUCAUCAACAUAUAGUUGGCAUAUGAACAAAUCCCCUUUAACCCUCUUAGUAAAAAGAGUGGGAUCUAUCUUCCCAAUUUCAAACCCACGAUCUUGUAACAACUCAGUAAGAUACUCAUACCACGCGCGUGGGGCUUGUUUAAGGCCAUAGAGUGCCUUAUUAAGUUUGUACACAUGAUUGGGGAGCUUGGGAUGUUCGAAUCCCGGGGGUUGUUUGACAUAGACCAACUCAUUUAAAGGACCAUUAAGAAAGGCACUUUUCACAUCCAUUUGUUGUAAUUUGAAGUUAUGAUGAGAAGCAAAUGCAAGCAACAUGCGAAUAGAUUCUGGACGAGCAACAGGGGCAAAGGUUUCACCGUAGUCGAUACCCUCGACUUGGGAGUAGCCUUGAGCCACCAAUCUUGCCUUGUUUCGAAUCACAAUCCCAUUGGCAUCUUGUUUUUUCUUGAAUAUCCAUUUGGUCCCGAUGACAUUAUGUUCCUCCGUUGGCCUAGGCACUAAAUCCCAGACUUGGUUGCGCUCGAAGUUGUUAAGUUCUUCGUGCAUGGCCAUAAGCCAAUCCUCAUCAUCGAGCGCUUCCUGUACCUGUUGAGGUUCACAAUACGAAACAAACGCGUGAUGCUCACAAUAAUUCCAAAUCUGUUGACGGGUGGAUACUCCCCUUUUUAAACUGCCAAGUACAUUCUUCAUAAGAUGUGACUUGACUCUCAGCUUGUUCGCAAUCUUGGCUGCUCGACGCUCCAAGAGUUCUUCAUUAGAUAAUGGGGGAGCAUCGACUUGUUUCCUUUGCUUGCCCUUGCGUCUUGAGCCGGCUGUUGGUGCUCCAGAAGGGAAUUGUGAGACAGUCUCCUGAUCAUCUUGUCCUUCGACUUGAGCAGGUUCACUAGUUUGUUCUCGUAUUUGUGGUUGCUCUUGAUCUUGAUCUUGUGCUUCUACUUGGUCUGGAUCUCGGGGUUGCACUUGAUCUUGAUCAUGAGACGGUUCGGAGUCUUGGGGUAGUGCUUUAAUAUCCUGAGACACAUCAUCAUUGUUGGGCAGUUUAUCUUGACCUUGAGCUUGUUUAUUUUGUUGAGAGUCUUCUCUUUGUUCAUCGGAAGCGUGUGGGGCUUGUGGAGGUGAUGGCUUCACUUGAAUAGAGCAUUGUCCUUCUCCUUCGGCCACAAGGGGUUCCUCAAUGGGGAGUAUUUGACCAAUCCCCAUUCUUCUUAUGGCCUGGGGAGGAAUUUCAUCACCUACAUCACAAAGACCACUUUGCUCCACUUGGGAGCCAUUAUUUUCAUCAAACUCUACGUUACACGUUUCCUCAAUUAGUCCGAUGGACUUGUUGAGGACACGGUAAGCAUGAGAGUUUGUAGCAUAACCAACAAAGAUACCCUCAUGUGCUCUAGAAUCAAAUUUAGCUAACCGUGCACCUUUCUUGAGAAUGAAACACUUACAACCGAAUACCCGGAAGUACUUGAGAUUGGGUUUGUUUCCAGUUAGAAUCUCAUACGGAGUCUUGUUCAAGCCUAUGCGGAUGUAGAGCCGAUUGGAUGCAUGACAUGCUGUGUUGAUGGUCUCUGCCCAGAAGUUAUAUGGAGAUUUGAAUUCUGCCAUCAUUGUCCUUGCAGCGUCUAUCAAGGUCCGGUUCUUCCUUUCUACCACGCCGUUUUGUUGAGGGGUAUAUGGUGCAGAAUAUUGGUGUUUUAUUCCCUCAUCACCUAGAAACUCAUCUAAGGUGUAGUUCUUGAACUCGGUGCCGUUGUCACUUCUAAUCAUCAAGAUCUUUGCUUCAUGUUGACGUUGCGCUUCAUUAGCAAAGUUCAUGACCGUUUGUUGAGUUUCACUCUUCUUUUUAAAGAAAUAUACCCAGGUAUAUCUUGAGUAGUCGUCAACAAUCACUAAGCAAUACUUUCUGCCUCCAAGACUAUCAAAUGAUGGAGGACCAAACAGAUCCAUGUGGAGAAGUUCCAAUGGCCUCUUAGUGUAGAUAAGAGUCGUUGGACGAUGAGCAGUUUCAUGAAUCUUUCCUUCAAUGCAGGCACUGCAAACACGAUCUUUAGCAAAACUCACAUUUGUUAGUCCACGAAUAUGGUCCCCUGUCAGAAGACUUUGCAAAGAUCUCAUAUUGACAUGAGCUAAACGGCGAUGCCAAAGCCAGCCCACGUCAACUUUAGCCAUUAAACAUGUCGCAGUCUUAGUGGGUCGCUUUGAGAAGUUCACCACAUAAAGACCAUUUUCAACAUAUCCAACAUAGGCUACUUUAAGAGUCUUGAUCCUUAGGAGGACCACAGUAUCAAGAUUAAAGAAUGUCGAAAAACCCAUAAUUGCGAGUUGACGAACCGAAAGUAAAUUGUAGGCAAGUGACUCAACAAGCAUGACCUUCUCAAUAGAUAAAUCUUGAGAGACGACCACCUUACCAAAUCCCAAUACCUUUGAAGAGGAUGCAUCGGCGAAUUGGACAUGGGUGGGCAUAGAUGGAGAAGGAUGCACAUCCACCACUAAGUCCUUGCUUCCGGUCAUAUGAUUUGUUGCUCCACUAUCGAGCAACCAUGACACCCCACCGGAAGCAAACUCCUGCAAUAGAUCAAGGCUUGGUUUUAGGUACCCAUUUUUUAAUGGGUCCUUUCAUGUUAGAGACAAGGGUCUUAGGAACCCAGAUAGCCCAUUCAAUAUCCUUAUCGUAGGAACCAACAAAUCUGGCAUAAACAUGCCCAUCACUAGCACAACAUAAGACAUAAGAGGAAUUGAAUUUGCCGGCUGUGUUAGUAGGGAUGGUUUUGCCCUUCUUGAGGUUUCCAUAGUCCACCUUGUUCCUGUUCACCUUCUGAGUCCCCUCACCCUCUUUGACAAACAUGUCCAUGAGGGUGGGUGUCACGCCCAAGAUGCGACCCUAUCCUCAAUUUGGCACGAGGGCCUCGUCGGGGAUAGAAGCGCAUCUCGUCGUGUCGCAAGAAUGGAUACCGUUACAAGUACAUGUACUGAAAAGAAGAGAUAUAUAAAGAGUUGACUUACACUCGCCACAAGCUACAUCAGAGUCACAUCAGUACAAUACAUAAUCAUCAAGAGUAAGAGCAGGGUCCGACUACAGACGAAAACAAACGGCAAAAGAAGAACGACGUCCAUCCUUGCUAUCCCAGGCUGCCGGCCUGGAACCCAUCCUAGAUCAAUGAAGUAGAAGAAGAAGAAGAAGCAACUCCAAAUGAACAAUCAACGCGCUCGCGUCGAGUAACCUUUACAUGUGCCUGCAACUGGUGUUGUAGUAAUCUGUGAGCCACAGGGGACUCAGCAAUCUCAUUUCCAAAGGUAUCAAGACUAGCAAAGCUUAAUGGGUGAGGUAUGGUUAAGUGGUGAGGUUGCAGUAGCGGCUAAGCAUAUAUUUAGUGGCUAACUUACGAAUACAAGAAAUAAGAGGGGGAAGAUCUACGUAACGGACGUGAACUACUCAUGAUCAAAAGAAUGAUCCUAAACACCUACCUACGUCAGACAUAACCCCACCGUGUCCUCGAUCGGAGAAGGAACUCACGAAAGAGACAAUCACGUUUACACACACAGUUGGCAUAUUUUAAUUAAUUAACUUCAAGUUAUCUAGAACCAGUGUUAAACAAAGCUUCCACGUUGCCACAUAACCGCGGGCACGGCUUUCCGCAAAGAUUUAACCCUACAGGGGUGCUCCAAUUAGUCCAUCACAAAUUACCACAAGCCGCAUAGAAAUCCUCAAUCACGAAGCUCGCGAUCUCGUCGGAUUCCCUAGUGGAAAACCUCAACUCUGAGGUUACCCAAAGCAUCACCGGAAUCCCGAUGCACAAGAUAUCUUGUCAAAGGUAAAACUAAUCCAGCAAGGCCGCCCGACGUGUCGACGAUCCCGAUAGGAGUCGCGUACCUCGUUCUCAGGACACGACGGAUGAGCUAGACGUCGGGAUCGCUAAACCUCCGGGUGACCAGAGGGGCGCCGGACAUCGCUCAGGUGGGACCAACACUCAUGAGGAGCACUGGCCCGGGGGUUGAUUAAAUAGUCCGCGGGUGCCGGCGGGUCCCUAUGCAUUAUUAUUAGGUUAUUAGGCAAAUGUAGUACCAAAGUUGGGCCUUGCCAGACCAGUCUUAAUCUAAAACGAAUUAUCAAGGGGGUCCCCAUAACAACCCCGAUCGUGUUAGGAGCGCUCAUUUAUGGAACAUAACACUGGUAGCCGGUAACUAAAGGGGGCAAAGGUGGAAUAAAACACCAGGCUAGAAAGGUCGAGCCUUCCACCUUUUACCAAGUAUAUAGGUGCAUUAAAUUAAAUAGCAUUAAUAUAGUGAUAUAACAAGGAACCCAUGUUUUCACAUGGAAGCAUCUGCACCUGCCACUAGCAACGCUAACACAGGGCUAAGCAAGCGGUAACAUAGCCAGUCACUGGUUUGCUAGGUCGAACAGGUUGAAGAUUUCAUGGCAUUGAUGAGAGGCUGAUAUUUAACAUGUGGUAGGCAACUAGACAUAACGACAGAAACGAUUUAACUAGCAUGGCAAUGAUAGUAAUGGUAUCUAGGGAAAUGAUCAUCUUGCCUGAGAUCCCGCUUGGAAGAAGAAUGCCUCCGUGAAGCAGACGAACCGACGUAGUCGAACGGGUCCUUACAUCCGACACGCUUGCGGAACUCUAUCGAUACGGAGGAAACGGAAACAAGCAUCAACACACGAUAUACACCACACGAUGCAAGACACACAUGAUACAUGAACGGCUCAAUGAUGCGAGGCAUGACAAUCACAACAACCAAACACUACACAUUAAGUGAAGUUCAAUAUGCACGAGUUGCAUAUUGACGAAACUCCACGUUAAUUAUUUAGUUCACUCCUGGUUAUCUACACGGCAAUAUUAAUGUUGUCAAACAUGCAAGAGGUGAAGCGAAAGUAAAACUACCUAUCUAGGCAUUUUAAGUGAGGUCGGAAAUGACAUACAGCACCUCCGAAACGACCUCACAUGUUAAUUUACAAUUCUGUCCAGAUCUGAAUUAACACCUUUAAUUAGUUGUUAAACAGCAAAACAAAUAGGUUCACGUAAUUCUACGCAUCAAGGCAAGCAAUCUACACAUAAGGAACAUCUCCGACGGAGCUACGGAACAAAAGAUACGGACACCGCAAGAUAUGAUGGCAUGAAUGCAAUAUGUGUGCAACAACGGCUACAAGCACUUCCAAAAUAAACAACCAGCAAGAGAAAAUGAAAGUACACGAGAUUCUAAGCAAUUUUCAUGUAGGACACGCUCCAAUCGGAGCUACGGUUCAAAAACUACGAGCGAAACAAGAAAACACUACAAUGUGCCAAAAACAGCCACAUAGCAUUUUCUACGCCUCACAACUUCGGCUACACAACUCCGAUAUGCUCAAGCAAGGCAUGGAACGGAAGAGGGAAAGAAGCACUACUACAAACAACUAACAUCAUCUAGCAUGGCAGCAAGGAACACCAGGGAAAGAAGUCACAAAAUGGCUUCCCACACACUAUUUCAGACUUAGUGAAAAUUACACCUCACGAAAGUGCAGUUUUCGAUCUGAAGCGAUAUUGACCGCAGAAAAAAACUAAGCUACAAGACUCCAAAUGGCAUGAAACUUUAUAUAAUGCUAGAGAAACACAAGGGGUGCAACUUACUCCAUUGGACCAACCUCAAAAGAGCUACAGUUCACAAGAUGCAAGCAAGACAAGACAACAACAAAAUAUAACAGAUUCCAGACUUAGAAGUAUUUCAGCUCCCCUAAAACAGCACUAUUUCUAGCAACUUGAGAGCAAGCAAACAACACCUAAACAUGCAUUUAUAAUGCAACCAAAAAUAGCAGGGGCUACACAAAACAUACAAGAUCAACUCUCUAGUUGACAACUAAUUCAAACGAGGCACGGAAUAAAACCUAUGAAUUAAACAAAAGGGCAUCACGACAAAAUAUCUCGCGAAAUAACUUCCUCAAAAGCUAAAACUAAUUGCACAGAAAAAUCCAUGGGAUUUUUCUACCCCGGAAACAUAUAAAAUAUGUGGGGUUUGCAACACAAUAUAAUGCCACACAUAAAUACGGGAAAAUAACCUAAAUACGGGAAAAUAAACUACCGGCAAUUCCCUACANNNNNNNNNNNNNNNNNNNNNNNNNNNNNNNNNNNNNNNNNNNNUACACGGAAAAAUACGAGUGUCCGUUCUAAAAUACACGGAAAAAUAGUCCCUAAAACAUAGGCAUUUUAUCUAAGGCACUCAAGCAAUCCGGAUCACAAGAUAAAAUAAAUACGGUACGAAACAAAAUAGGAGAACACGUUAAACUAGGCAUUCGGCACGUAAAACUACAGCAAAUAAUUAUGCAAGUUUUAUAAACAGAUUCUACGCACAAACCUACACGAAAAGCAUAUAAAAAUCAUCGCGAUCCGACUUACAGAUUAAAAGUUACGGGCGUGUAACUAUUUAGCUAAAACCUGAAAUACAACUAAUUCGGAAAAUCCUAAAUUCUAACGGCCGAAUCUGGUGGGCGCAACAUAGCAAAUACACGCCUGGGGCGAGGGAUAGGGCUUGCGGGGCUCACCUUGCUGGCGGGGGUUGGGCCUUGCAGCUUGGGCCGAGGAGAGGCGAGGUGGAGGGACGCUGGUGCGGGCCGGCUGCGAGGAGGCCGAGCUGGGCCGCUGGGGCGCUCUGGGCCUGGCUCGGGCGCUCGCGUGGGGGUGGGCCGAACUGGCCUCGGCCGGCGCGGGGCCUAGCUCGCGAGCAGCUGGUGCGGCCUAGGCGCGCAGCGGGAGAGCGAGGCGCUGGCGCUCGCCGUUCUUCUGCCCGAGCGCGCGAGCCAUGGCGGCGACCGGCGGCUCGAUCCGACGGGGUGGAGGCAGGCGCCUCCGACGGUUGGUGCAGGCGGCCGGUUCCGGGCGGAUCCGAGGCGCGGGAGUCUCCCGGCGGGAUCUGGCGCGGCGGCGCGCUGCGCGGGGAAGGCGGCAGCGGCUCGGGGAGCCCGGGAUGGCGCGGCCCGAGGGCGACGGGGCUCCGGCGAGCAGGCGGGUGAUGGGUCAGCGGGGCCUGCUGGCGGUGCGGCACUCCGACGGCCGGCCGGACGGCGCUUGGAGCUCGCUCGGGAGGAGCUGCGGGAAGAGGCUCGGCCUCGAGGCGGCGGCGCUGGAUCCGGGCCUGGUGCGGGCCUGCUGCGGGCUUCGCAGGCCGGCGGCGGCUGCGGGACACAGAGUGCUACGGCUAGGGUUAGGGUUAGGGCACGGAUUUCGAGGAGGAGAGAGGAGGCUGUCCAAAAAUUAAGGAGGAGGGGGUAUUUAUAAAGAAAAGAGGGGCUUAGUUAACCGGAAUCGCGUUCCGGAUCCAACCGCGGGGUCGGAUUCGGACGAUUCCGAACGCGGGUAUGGGUACGCGGCCGUGCAGAGGGGAUAUCCGGAGACGAGAGGGAGAACGGGCGGCGCGGCACGAAUUUUAAAACACCGAUAGACGUCCGACGAAUAACCGAAGACGGUGCCGCUACGGUCGACCGUUCGGGUACGAGACGGACUCCGAUCGCGACGAAAUUCGACAAGCGGCCUAGCCAUAACUAAUCACGACCGCGUGCCAAGUUUCACCUCGAUCAGAGAAAGUUUUAAACACACUUUAAAAACAGGGUUACGACGGUGCCGCGGGCGCGUGCGUGUGCGGUCGGGCUCAGAACGGACGACGACGCGAACCGGCAACUAACACGGAUGCAAGUUUUGAAAACUGGCGGCACGGAGAUGCCGAUGCAAUGCAGAUGAUGCGAAUGAUGCGAUGACGAUGCGACAAAAGAAAAUACCCACACGACGAAAACGGAAAGAAAAGGUAAUCUUCUCGAACGUCGGCAUCGGGCUAUCACAACUCUCCUACACUACAAGGGGAUCUCGCCCCGAGAUCCAAGAAUGAAAGGGGGAGAGGAUGACAAAGAACAAGAGGUAAAAACUUAGUCGCUUCUUUGACAAAUGAGUGAAACCAACGAUCCUUGAAGGUUGCAAGGCGAUGAGGAAUGAUAAAAGAAAGAAGCAAGAUUCACGGAAAAAUUCGGCAGCACUUCGGUAGAAAAAAGGGACAAAAAAUUCGAUGAGAAGGAAGAAAUAGACAAUAUACAUGACAAACAACUAAAUGGAGCAAGGGAACCAUGAUCUUGAUAGAACAACUUAAUAGCCCCAAAAGAGCAACAACACAAAGCCUCCGGAACAAUAGAAUAGGAACUAACUCAAGCGGAAGAAGAGAAUGAAGAAAGAAUGCCAACUAUCAUCACAAUAGAAUUGGAGAGCCUCCGGAACAAGAGAAUUGACGUAGUGGUUGGAAAACCAACAACGAAAAGAACAAGAAAGUAGUGGGCUUAUGAAAAUCAUCUCAACAAAUAUGAGGUGACAAACAACCACUAAAAGAAACAAUGAUAGACUGGGAGCAACAAGAAUCAAAACUUCUUACACCAAGAGGAUAUGUUGAGAACUCGUAUUAAUGGCAAGCACCAAGAUAGCACAAUCCCUAGGAAAAGCUUUAGGUGAAAUCCAAACCAAGAUAACUCAAUGAAGAAAUCAUGGGUUGAAAUAUCUCAUGAUCAUAGAAUUGGUGGUUUUAAUUAUCUCAUUCUUGAGAGGAAAACUCUUCGAGGCUCCUACACUAAUAAGAAGGCUAUAAUACCACCUCAAAGGAACAAGGAAGAACAAAUGCACUUGAAAAUGCAAGAGAACGGAUACUUGAGAAAAGAAUUGAUAUCAUGCGCCGCUCCGGAAGAACAAGAAUAAGAAUUAUGUUAUGCUUAUCCUUCAUCAAGUUUAAUUGAUGACAAGCAACGGAUUUAGCAUACCACUUAUUCUUCUUGAAAUGAUCUUGAAGAGGCAUAGAGAUAAGCACCACUUGAGGCCUAAUUGAAGGAAGCACCGGUAAGAAUUCACAAAUGAAUGGAAACACCAUGAAUCCAUGGAGAUACAUGAGAAUGAAGAGAUCAUGAGCCACCUGAGAGAAAACUUGAACAAGGCACCGGAUAAUCGAGAGACGAACGAAUACACACAAUUGAGAAGAAUUGAGGACGAAAGCUGAAAGCUGAGAACGAAGAAUCUUCUAAAAUGAUGGCCUUCGGAGGAACGAGAAAUAAAAACAACUCAGAAAUGCACCGGGUAGCGAGAAACGAAUACACAUGAUUGAUAACAACUAAUAUGGUAGCACAAAGUUGAAAUGACGAAUAUCCAAGAGAAUGAACCAAGAUUGAGAGAAACACUCCUCCAAAUUGCAAGCUGAGAAUGAUGACGAAAACAACACCAAGAAAAACUGAGACACUCCGGAAUAAGGAAGAAUGAAAGGUUGAGCCAAAUAUGAGAAUUAACUCCAAUUAAUCUUGAAGAAUGAAUAUGACUGAUGAAAAUCACACUUACGUCAUAGUUGAAAAGAAUUAAGGACCUCCGGAAAAGAUUAAAGAGCCAGGUAGGAUCCUGGGAAGAACCUGUGGGUUAUGGGCCCACUCAAAGAAAAUCACCGUUAGAAAAGAUUACUAGACGAGAGAUAUUGCACCGGUACAAAUGAAAACUAGAUGAGGUUGAGAACCUCGAAAUAAUUAAAAGAAUUGAAAACUCGAAACUCAGAGAUAUCUUCAGCACUCCGGAUGAAAAGAGAGGAAUGAAUAACCAAGAUAGCCUGAAAGAAUCUCCAACAUGAAAAAGAAUUACAAGGAUAAUUAGGAUAUGAUGAACACGGAUAGCCAAAUUAAAUUCACCGGUAAGGAUGACAGGAUGAACAAAGAUGAACACGAAGCUCCUGAGAAUCUUCACAACGAAUCACCGGAUAAGAGAGAAAAGAACACAUAGCGGAAGCACAAUGAAAAGAAGCUCUUGGAUGGAAAUUGAAUCACUGAGAAAAGGGUGGGAGGNNNNNNNNNNNNNNNNNNNNNNNNNNNNNNNNNNNNNNNNNNNNNNACAAAGACAACUUGGGCUAGAUGAGAUGAACUCCGGAAUAAAUGAGAAAAAGAUCUUGCAAAUUGGAGAGGGUUGAAUUCACUUGGAGAGAAACACAUCGGUUGAAAAAGAAUUGAUAUGGCGACUCUAGUUGAGCAAGAAUUUGCAUUCCCAUAAAAAUAUGAGAACACAGAUUAGGAAAGAUCUGAAAUCACCACUUGACAUCGAAGCAACUUGAAUUACCAUAAUCAACAAAACAAAGGAUGAGGCUUACGAAAGAAGCCAGAACAAACUCAUGAGAAAGAUUUCGUCCGAUAUUUUCGUGGACAGGAUCGCACGGGCUCGAUUUUACAGUAGACAUCAAGUGCAAGGCAGUGCACCUGACAUACGAAGCGUGCCCGAGUCGUAGCAAGCUACAAGGACUCUUUAAGACACAACGUGUGCCGCUGUAAGUCGACCGUGAACAAGCGAAUCCACUAGAUGUCGAACCCCAACCUAACAUCAUGCAAUUGUUGGAAGAUUGUCCUAUAAGCAACUACUUGAAUUCCCACCUAUGAAUUCCCGAAAUAUCUGGUCAUGCAAUCUGGUACACGGAUACAAGGAGUAAUAACACACAACUGCUAUACUAACCCGUCACCUGUAUCACAUCCGUCAACACACGACCAGAAUCUCGGACCUUCAUCUACAACAGACCCUCGUGAUCACAACGAUACAAAGUAUGGCAGUACUCCCGAACAAUUUGCACCAGUACUGGGGACAUCGGGGUUAUCUCGCCACUACUCGUAUUGAAGCAAUUACGAACAUCCUUCGUUCUGAGAUACUAAGAAAUCUGAAUGAUAACGAUGUGCUCAAGAAUCCCCUCGAGCUCAAUUCCCCGGAAGAAAAUCAAGUCAGACAGGAGGCACCAAGACAGAACUUUGUCACAUCGGCAUCAUAUAGAUCCCAAGAAUAUCCGCGUGAUCCUAAAAAAAAUUGAGUGAGAAGAGGAGUAGAGUAAAUUAUUACGUCAAGAUUCCUCACCAGAGCAUCGAAGAGGAGAAGAAAGAAUCCUACUCUCCGAUAUAACUAAGACUCAAAUAGUUUUUCACUAGACUCGACUCGGCCAUGUUCGAUCAAUCAAGGGGGCUCCUAGGUCGGUCCUUGCUCUGAUACCAACUUGUCACGCCCAAGAUGAAACCCUAUCCUCAAUUUGGCACGAGGGCCUCGUCAGGGAUAGAAGCGCAUCUCGUCGUGUCGCAAGAAUGGAUACCGUUACAAGUACAUGUACUGAAAAGAAGAGAUAUAUAAAGAGUUGGCUUACACUCGCCACAAGCUACAUCAGAGUCACAUCAGUACAAUACAUAAUCAUCAAGAGUAAGAGCAGGGUCCGACUACGGACGAAAACAAACGGCAAUAGAAGAACGACGUCCAUCCUUGCUAUCCCAGGCUGUCGGCCUGGAACCCAUCCUAGAUCGAUGAAGUAGAAGAAGAAGAAGAAGCAACUCCAAAUGAACAAUCAACGNNNNNNNNNNNNNNNNNNNNNNNNNNNNNNNNNNNNNNNNNNNNNNNNNNNNNNNNNNNNNNNNNNNNNNNNNNNNNNNNNNNNNNNNNNNNNNNNNNNNCCCUAAAACAUAGGCAUUUUAUCUAAGGCACUCGAGCAAUCCGGACCACAAGAUAAAAUAAAUACGGGACGAAACAAAAUAGGACAGCACGUUAAACUAGGCAGUCGGCACGUAAAACUACAGCAAAUAGUUAUGCAAGUUUUAUAAACGGAUUCUACGCACAAACCUAAUUAUGCAAGUUUUAUAAACAGAUUCUACGCACAAACCUACACGAAAAGCAUAUAAAAAUCAUCGCGAUCCGACUUACGGAUUAAAAGUUACGGGCGUUUAACUAUUUAGCUAAAACCUGAAAUACAACUAAUUCGGAAAAUCCUAAAUUCUAACGGGCCGAAUCUGGUGGGCGCAACAUAGCAAAUACACGCCUGGGGCGAGGGAUAGGGCUUGCGGGGCUCACCUUGCUGGCGGGGGUUGGGCCUUGCAGCUUGGGCCGAUGAGAGGCGAGGUGGAGGGACGCUGGUGCGGGCCGGCUACGAGGAGGCCGAGCUGGGCCGCUGGGGUGCUCUGGGCCUGGCUCGAGCGCUGGCGUGGGGGUGGGCCGAACUGGCCUCGGCCGGCGCGGGGCCUAGCUCGCGAGCAGCUGGUGCGGCCUAGGCGCGCAGCGGGAGAGCGAGGCGCUGGCGCUCGCCGUUCUUCUGCCCGAGCACGCGAGCCAUGGUGGCGGCCGGCGGCUCGAUCCGACGGGGUGGAGGCAGGCGCCUCCGACGGUUGGUGCAGGCGGCCGGUUCCGGGCGGAUCCGAGGCGCGGGAGUCUCCCGACGGGAUCUGGCGCGGCGGCGCGCUGCGCGGGGAAGGCGACAACGGCUCGGGGAGCCCGGGGCGGCGUGGCCGACGGGGAUGGCGCGGCCCGAGGGCGACGGGGCUCCGGCGAGCAGGCGGGGGAUGGGUCAGCUGGGCCUGCUGGCGGUGCGGCACUCCGACGGCCGGCCGGACGGCGCUUGGAGCUCGCUCGGGAGGAGCUGCGGGAAGAGGCUCGGCCUCGAGGCGGCGGCGUUGGAUCCGGGCCUGGUGCAGGCCUGCUCCGGGCCUCGCGGGCCGGCGGCGGCUGCGGGAUAGAGAGUGCUGUGGCUAGGGUUAGGGUUAGGGCGCGGAUUUCGAGGAGGAGAGAGGAGGCUGUCCAANNNNNNNNNNNNNNNNNNNNNNNNNNNNNNNNNNNNNNNNNNNNNNNNNNNNNNNNNNNNNNNNNNNNNNNNNNNNNNNNNNNNNNNNNNNNNNNNNNNNGCCUGCCCACCCAUGGAAUCUCCCCUGCCAAUUGGGUACGGCCCGUCGCCACGCACGCACACACACACGCACAAAUGACACAAACUCACACAACAAGACACACACAUGCCAGUGAAAACUGAAAACGAUCGCAAACUCUCUCCAAGUAAAGAAAGAAAAUAUUAUUCGUACUAGUAAAACGGAAGAUAAGGACCUGCAGUUUUGGAAGCGAGCAGAGCACACACACAAACCAAAACAAACAAACCAAACGGUGACAUCAGUGGAGUGCGAGAGGGGGAGCCGAGCCCGGCCCGGCCCGGCCCGGCGGCCCUUCUUUAAGAUCACCACCCGCCCCCAAUUGUUCUCUCCNNNNNNNNNNNNNNNNNNNNNNNNNNNNNNNNNNNNNNNNNNNNNNNNNNNNNNNNNNNNNNNNCUUCUUCGCCUUCUUCUUCUUCUCGCCCGGUGACACCCGAGAGCAAACGAGCAAUUCACCAGCUUGCUUCCUCUUGUCUGCUGCAAGGUGCUGAUCGGUGAUCGGGCCUUUGAUCUUUCCGGGAGGGAGGGAAGCCGUUGUGUCAGGCUGGCUCUCG